UACCCAUUUGUUCAGGUAGGAUUGCAUUCAUUUUCCGUUUAGUGCCAGACAUCUGAGGGAAAGUAUUUAGCGAAGUUCUUUUAUUGAAGGUAAUAUCUUAGUGUUCAAUUAGGGUCAAUGUACACAGAAUAACAUAGUACAAUGUACAGUGAAGAACAAAGCAGAACAAUAACAGAGGUAAAAAACUAUAGAGUAGGAAAAUGCAGAAACUCACGUUUGUCAGUGAAAAGUUUGUUCUCUAUUUCGCCAGCUGAAGAAGUGUGAGUUCCAAAAUCCUACAGAAGGUGUAGCAAAUAUGCAGUGUAUUAAUUAAAACUAUGCAAAAGCGAAGAUUCAAAUGAAGAUUGUAUUCUUGAGACCACUCUAAUUAGCUAAAAGGUCAAAUUACAGCUUAGUAAGAGUAGAGCAUAUAUUAAAAGACACAUAUGUGGUAAAGGCGCAAAUAGCAGGCGUAUGCGAGGGACAAACAUCUAUGUGGUUAAUAUAUUGGGUAAAGUUGUUGGAUCUUUGGAUAAUUCCCCAAGUUAACUGUCUCUUUACUGUAGAGGACUUGCUGAAAGAAGAUCUUGUCGUUGUUUCAGCUAAACUACUGUAGUUUAUUCUGCAAAUUAAGAAGUUGUUCUUUCCUGUUGAAUUAUCUUUCACUCACCUAUCGACUACACUCUUUGUUAUGGACGUCAGCAACGUAGAAAUCCCACAAGCAGCAAGAUAUAAGCUGGAGUUUUCCUCUAGUUUGACACGGCAUAUAUACUGUCAGGCAAUACCAACUAAGCCGAUUAACGGGAAAAUUGCAUAAUCUGUUCUUUUCAUACACCAUAAGGUAAUAAAAGGGAGGAGAAGAUGAAAUAGUAAAUGUAUGACAGAAUUGAGGAAUAGGAACAUAAAACUACAGGACACAGAGGUUUAGACUCACAUUUGGGCAUUGGCAGAGGGAGCUGCUAGAGUAUAUUACUUUGAUUUGUUUAGAGGACAUUACCUUUAUAUCAUAUAACCUAUUUAGUUAUAAUUACAUUGGAUAAGGCACUUUUUAUUCCUAGUUAACCAAGUAGUUUGCAUAAUGAAUAAUAGAAAUAAAGAGAGGAAAGCAUGUCCACAUCCUAUAUCUACUAAAAGCACCGCAAUAUACAGAAAGCACAAAAGACUGCCAGUUUUAUUUCCUUUUCUGGGGUUGCCUCAUUUUGCCUACACCUACAUGUUACUGCCAUUAAACUGAAUUUAGGUUCAUUAUCUCAAGGAAAGUCAGCAGUUAUAGCAGCUAUAUCUGGAGUGCAGGUACACCUUUGUUCUGGAAUUUUAACCUUCACUUAGGUAUGUUGAUGUUUUUACCAGUUUCCUUUUAGUUAUAAAUCGGAAAAUACAUUGGUUUUUUCCUGUCAUCCUCCGACCGGCCCCCUUUCCACCUCUAAGUAGUGGUGUUGGUGUGUCUCGUUGCAAUCAUUCCGGUCAAUCCCUUUUCAUGAUUCGAGAUUCUGAUGAAGUGAACUUAUGUACAAAUCGAAGACAGUAUCGAAAGUGUCGGGAGCUUGAAUUUUUUGGAGACGGCUGAGUCCUAUUUUGUGUAAGUUUCCCAGGGAACAUUCAUUUCAUCCAGCGAGUGAAAUUUAGUAAACAAAUAGAUAUUUAUACUACGUUGUCAAUAGUGAACGAACUACAAUACUCCAUGGAUUUCCUCCAAUUCAACAUCGGCAGAAACAUAAAUCAACAAAACAAAGGCGAAAAGAUGCACCGGGAAACCCUUGACCGAAAGUAGGAAAAACGAACAGAACAGAGACAGAAGACAUAAACAAAAGGUAACAACUAAGGCUGAAUACAACAUCGAGCUAAACAUAAAUCAACGAAAGAAAGACACAAAGAUACACAUCAGUAGAGGUCUAAAUCCAAUGGAAACUUUCCAACGAAAGAGAGGAAAAUGAGCAGAGCAAAGACAGGGAGCAUACCUUUGUUUAAUUUAAAAAAAAAUAAAGAUAUUCUCUAAAAUAUAAAUUGGAAAUAUCUAAAAAAUAUUUUAUCAUAUAUUUUAGAGUAUCUUUUUCUCUAAAAUAUAAAUUGGAAAUAUCUAAAAAAUACUUUAUCAUAUAUUCAAAUAUUUAAUUUUAAAAAAAAUAAGCACAAAUAAUUAAUUUGAGACAAAAUGAGUCCUAAUACUCGAAAUUCAAUAAUAUAUUCAAUAUAAUUUUAUAAUUAAGAAACAAGGAAAUUAAAAUAUACACAAAUUUUAUUUUUAUCUAUAUAAGAUUAAAAAAAUGGUUGCCAAUAACCCUUCUGCAAUAAACAAAAGUUAUGCCAAGCAAAAUCUACACAAAAAUAUGACAAUACAAAAACAUAUAAAGCAAAAAUCAACAGUUGGAAAUUAGGUAACUGCGGAUUACUAACGCUAACUUUUAACACUAAAAUUAACGCGCAAAUAUGAACUGUUGGAAAUUAAGUAACUACUGAUUAUUAACGCUACUUCUAAAAUUAGGUAACUGCGGAUUACUAACGCUAACUUUUAACACUAAAAUUAACGCGCAAAUAUGAACUGUUGGAAAUUAAGUAACUACUGAUUAUUAACGCUACUUCUAAAAUUAGGUAACUGCGGAUUACUAACGCUAACUUUUAACACUAAAAUUAACGCGCAAAUAUGAACUGUUGGAAAUUAAGUAACUACUGAUUAUUAACGCUACUUCUAAAAUUAGGUAACUGCGGAUUACUAACGCUAACUUUUAACACCAAAAUUAACGCGCAAAAAUGAACCGUUGGAAAUUAAGUAACUGCUGAUUACUAACGCUACUUCUAAAAUUAAGUAACUACUGAUUAGUUAAGGACCGUGAUAUGGCCCAAUACAAUGAAAGGCUCGUUUACGGGUUCGAUAUUACAAUAUUAUAUAUAUUUAUAAUAGAAAUUUAAUUAGUUUGGGAAAAGAAAAUAUUUUAUGACAUUCUCAAAUAAACAUGAUAAGAAAUAAUAAUAAAAUAUCACAUGCUCGAGUGAUUGUUUUAACAUUAAUCCAAAUAUAUAUAUUCGAAUUAAAUAAUUAAUUUAAUUUUUUUUCUAUUUUAUUUGAAAAUUAUUCAAGAGAAUAGAUUAAAAUUAUGAGUCUCAAUAUAUUAACAAUUUUUAUAAACUAUAUAAAGCAAUAAAGUCUAUUGAUUCAUCUAUAUAGAUUAAUUUUGAAUAUACUUAAAAUUUGUUUUAUAGAUGUUUAACAAACAAAAAUAAUGACCUACUUGAUGAAAAUUAGAAUGAAUCAUCACAUUCUUUACAAAGUGAUAAAAGGAUGAAAAAAGUUAUGAUUUUAUAUCUUGUCUUUAUAUUCAUUAAAUUAUGACUUUAUAUCUUGUCUUUAUAUUCAUUAAAAUUAGGAGAACAAUUUAGUAUAGUAAGAUUAUUUUUUUCUAAAUUAAUUUAUAUACCUUAUGAAUGAAUGUUUUACCUCAAAUAAUGAGAAUUUAAAAAUAUUAACAAAAGUUAAUAUAAUAUAUAUUGCAGUAAUUUACCUUGAUAUAGUUAAAAUAAUAGUUUGUAUAACUUGCUUAAAAUGAUUUCAACUGAUGAUAAAAUAAUAGUAAUAAAUAAAUAUAUGUUUCUCAAUAAAUUAUAUAAUGACAUAUAUGUUACGUGAAGUUUUGGGAUUAUACAUAAAAAGAGAAAUAAAGUAAACUAGAUACUUCAAAAAUUAUCUUUACAAUCCAAAAAGAAAAGCAACACCAUGAAAUUGAAAAGUCUAAAGAGAACCAAAGGAAAGGACAUAAAAUGCUCCGAAAUUAUUGAUUUUUUUUUUCUUGAAGAGCAUGCUCACUGGUUGCAUCCCUUAUGAAUUAGGCCUUUUGAGAAUCUUGUGAUUAAUAUUGGAUUUAACAUGUUAACUGGUCCAUUAUCAUUUUCAUUAGAGUGUUUGAAAAAUGUGGAUCAGAUGGAUUUUGCUGAAAAUUUGUUAUAUGGACAAGUCCCAGAAGUGAUGUGUUCACUAAGAAAUAGCGGAUUUUACUGUUGUCUUAUAAUUAUUUUACAAAAGUAGGGCCAUUAUGUAGGUAAUUGAUAAAAAAUGAAGUUCCUAAUGUUGAAAAACAAUUGAAUUAUUGGUCUUCCUAAUAAGAGAUCUAUACCGAAGUGUGUAAUAUUAGGAUGCAAAUUAGAAAUAAAGGGCGAGAAAUUUAUUGAAAUUAGACAUGAGAGGGAGAGAAUUGAGGAGUGAAUGAAAUGAAGAAUGAGUUAGUGUCUAUUUAUUUGUGUCAUAGUUAGUUCUAGAAAAAUCUUAUAAUUUAUAAUUUCUAGAAUAAUCAUGUAACUUAUGGAGGAAAUUUAGCCACUUAAUUAUUAUUUUUGACAAAUUUAAAAAUAGAUUAUAGAAUUUUAAAAUAAAAUAUAUAUGAAAUGACCAUAUUAUCCUUGAUUGUCCUCAAAGAUAUUUCUAUAUUAUUUUAUUUCUAUUAUAUAGAAAUGUGAAGGAUGAACGACCAAGGGCACUCUCGAAAAUCUGAUUGUAUUGAAAGGGUAAAAUAGUAAUUGUGUGAUUAUCCAUUAUAAGGAAGGUCUAGAAGGAUCACAAGAGUUCCUUUUCUUUCUUGACCAAGAAAAUCUACUCUCCUGUUCAGCACUGAAAAUGAUUUUUUAUACGUAUUCCUCAAUGUCAGAUUCUAGAAAUAUUACUCCCUCCGUCCACAAUUGUUUGGCAUGUAUACUAAAAAUAGAUGUCCAAGAUUAAUUGUCAAUUUAAACAAUCAAGAAAUAAUUAAUCAAUUUUUUCGAAUUCUGCCCUUAAUGAUAGUGUAGUUCAAUUGAAAAGUUAUGUGGACUUUUGGUAUUCUUGGUAUAGUAGGGUUAUAUUAGUCAAAUUACACCUUGUAUUAAAUUUUCCUUGAGGGAUGUGCAUGACCUUACCCUGACAAACAAUUGUGGACGGAGGGAGUAGUUCUUAAGAGCAGAAACAUUUGGAGGUCUUCAAAAUGCUAUAUUCUGCUCUUUUGAUUCAUUUCUCCUGAUCCUGAUCUUAGGUAAGCUUUUAUCUCAUCCCCAAUUUUAUUCAAUUCUUUUCAUAUUUCUCAAUUUCAUGGCUUAUUCUGUCAAAACUUUUCCCAGCAUAAAUUUUCUUCCUUUGUUUCUCUGUAAAAUUUGUUGAUAUAUAUUUUUCUCAUGCUUUUUUCAGUUGGAACUUUAUCUUAUUUAUCGGGUGUUUCAAUAUCAAGUUCGCUUUUUUUUUUUUUUUAAAUGUUUGCUCAAAUUUCUUUCAAUCCUAUUUCACAUCAAAUUUCAUGGUUGAUGUCAUUAUUGUUAAUCUAAUUACUCACCAAUUUCAUGGUUAAAGAGAUGACUCUAAACUCCUCUUCAUCUUCUCAUUCGAUUCUCUAGGUAUGUCUUCGUUUCAUCAAUAAUUCUUCUCUUCAUCUUCUUUUUUCUUCUCAUUAUGUAUGUAUUCCUUUUUUAGCCUAAUAUGAACUUUUGGGUUAGAUGGAAACUCUUUAUAAGAAACUGUAACAUCCGACAAUUUGAAAUAACUAUAAAGAGGCUUAGAAUUGGAAUUAAUCAUUUUUUGGAUGGAAUUCAAAAAUCUGGAAUUUGGACAAGUAUGGAAAAAAAAGGUGAGUUUUUGGCCAACUUUGAUCAGCCAUAACUCCUAGCUCAGGAUGAGUUAGAUAUAGUUCCAGUUAUUGUUGCGAAGCUAGUGGAACGAUCUUUCCAACGCCACCGAUUUUACUCGAUUCCGAGUUCGUAUGAGUGAGUUAUAUACUUUGGAAGUUGGGCCGUUGGCAGAGAAAUCCGUCCGGAAAUUUUAAGGGCAUUUUGGUCUUUUCCCUAAUCAAUUCUUUUGGUUAUAUUAGAGUGUUGGACUGAUUUUUAAAUCAGUUUGUCCCAUUUUAAAAGAGUGAGAGUGUGGGUUUUGAGUGAAGAAGAGAAGAAGAAGAGAAGAAGAGGAGAAGAAGAGGAGAAAGAGGAGAUCAAACAAGUUUCCGUUGAGGAUAUCGUCGGGGGUGAUCCCUACAAGGUAUGUGAGUUCAUAGUGUUGGGUUGAUCCUUUCCCCCACACGCCAAGCUCGUUUUAUUUUUGAGAAAAGAUUGGUUAUGUUGUUGAAGUUGUUGGGAUGUAUUGUUGAAGUCCCUUGUUGAUUUGAGACAUGUUUUCCGAUUGUGUUUUUGAGUUGUAAUCUAUUGUAUGUUGAGGGGUUUAUGGUUCUAAGUGUUUGGUGUUGGAACCUUUGAAGUUUGGAAGGAUUAGAGUUGGAGAAACAGGAGAGGAAAGUCGGAAUUUCGGGGAAAAGGGGAUGGGGCGUCGCGCCAGCCAGCGCGCCCCAGUAGGGGCUUUGAGGUUUCCCCCAUGGGGUGCCGCACCUAGCAGUGCGCCCCAGCAGUCCUUCUGAGCUCCGAGGGCUGGCGCCCUGCGCCUUGCAGAGCGCCAAGGACGCCAAGUUCCCCCAUUCUUCUCACACUUUCUCAUGCAUGUUCCAUGGUAUUGUACCAAUGUUUCAUAGUUGUUUCCGACACUUCAAAGUACAUCUAAACGUCAUGAACUCAUCCAUAACAUGUGAUCAAACACCUUGAAUUCAUAAUUCGAUUCAAGGAGAGUUAGUUUCAAGUCAAGUAAAAGAGUAUAAAGUUUCAAGUUGAGUAAAGAGUAUUGAGUUGAGUGAGUCGCGUAAAGAGUCUCAAGUUUCAAGUUAAGUCAAGAGCAUAAAAGUCGAGUCCAUUUCUCAAAAUUUAUUAGGGAACUAUGUAUUUCCCAAAGAAGUUUCUAAGUGUUUUACAUUUGAGUAAGAAAGGAACAUCGAUUUCAAGAGAGCCUUUGGGCUAGAUUUUGAGUAAUUAUCUCAAACUAAAGAAAGAUGUGUUUAAAACACUUAUGAGCCAAAGUAUAUUUUUGGGNNNNNNNNNNNNNNNNNNNNNNNNNNNNNNNNNNNNNNNNNNNNNNNNNNNNNNNNNNNNNNNNNNNNNNNNNNNNNNNNNNNNNNNNNNNNNNNNNNNNNNNNNNNNNNNNNNNNNNNNNNNNNNNNNNNNNNNNNNNNNNNNNNNNNNNNNNNNNNNNNNNNNUUAUAUAUUGCAUGUGUCUUAUUUCUUUAUAUAUUGAGUUCAAUUAUUAAUCAGUCGUACAGAGCCAAGGUAAGUGUUCUCUCGUACUCUUUUCAAGCUUAACUUGUGGUUUAGCUAUCCAGCUCGCAUACUCGUACAUUCCAUGUACUGAUGACAGUUGGCCUGCAUCUUAUUAUGAUGCAGACGCAGGUACCCAUGAGCAGCAUCCAGCACGCCGUUGAUCCAGUUGAGCUAUCUAGAGUCGGUGGUGAGCCUCUUUGCUUUCCGGAGGACUCAGAUAAUUUGUUCUCUUAGUUUUGUUUAUUAGGAUGUUGCGGGGUCUGUCCCAACAUCCAUCUCAGUAUUAUAGAGGUUUCAUAGACAGUCAGUCAGUUAGUUUUGUGUCUCUCGUCUAUGUAUAUAUAUAAGUAUUCUAUUUUGUAGACUUCGAGUUGCCUUUUGGCUAGAUUUAAUCAGUUAAGUUGUUGAUGUCUUGCAUGGCAUGGAGUUAUUCUGUUGAGUCAGGUUUCCGCUGAGUUAAGAAAGCCAGGCCAAGGGUUCGCUUGGGGCCAACAAUGGUCUCCGGGUGCCAGUCCCGCCCAGGGUGUAGGGUCGGGGCGUGACAAACUUGGUAUCAGAGCACAGAGUUCAAGAGUCCUAGGGAGUCUGAAGCCGUGUCUGUAGAAUCCUAAUUAUCAGUGUGAAGCGCGCCACAUCUAUAAUUGGUAGGCUGCAACAUUUAGGAAGAUUUCUCACGUCUUUCACACUCACCUCGUGUGUUAGAGUUGAUCUCUAAAAAGUUUCUUACUAAUCCGUGCUUACGCGUGUUUUUCAGAUAAUCAUGCCUCCACGAAGAGUUGGCAGAGGGCGUCUUCCUAGACGUUAUAUUGAUGUGCAAGAGUUUCCUUAUGCCCCGGGAGUGCAAGAUCAAUGGGAUGUUUCUAAUGCCGAGUUCAGAGAGGAAAUUAGGAUUGUGAGUCAAGCUGUAACUAAUUAGAUUGGUCAGCAAAGGGGAGCACGACAUGAAGGAGCUGACACUUCAAGGAUUCGUGAGUUCUUGGGGAUGAAUCCUCCGAGUUUCACGGGUUCAAGCACUACUGAGGAUCCAGAAAACUUCAUUGAGGAGUUGAAGAAGAUUUUUGAUGUGAUGCAUGUGGCAGAUAUUGAGCGGGUUGAACUAGCUGCAUAUUAAUUGAAGGAUGUUGCUAGAAUUUGGUUCGACCAGUGGAAAGGGGGCAGAGCUGAGAAUGCACCACUUGCGAAUUGGGCCUGUUUUGAGGAAGCUUUCUUGGGGCAUUUCUUUCCUCGAGAAUUGAGAGACGCCAAGGUACGUGAGUUCCUUAAACUUAAGCAGGAGUCUUUGAGUGUUCAUUAGUACAGUCUGAAGUUCACACAACUAUCCCGCUAUGCUCCGGAGAUGGUGGCGGACAUGAGAAAUAGGAUGAGCUUGUUUAUUGCUGGGCUGUCUCGGUUGUCAAGUAAGGAAGGUAGGAUUGCAAUGCUUAUCAGGGACAUAGACAUAUCAAGGUUGAUGGUCUAUGUACAGCAGGUUGAGGAAGAGAAGCUGAGGGACAAGGAAGAGUUCAGGAGUAAGAGAGCCAAGACCGGUAAUGAGUCCGGGAAGCAGAAAGGUAAUGUUAAUCAUCCGUCCUUCCAAGAAAGGCAAAAGGGAUCUGCUCCAUCAUCUGCUAGAGCACCUGCACCCUGAUACAGAGGGGAAUUUAAUGGCCAGAAUUCGAAGGACUUCAAGGAUAGACCAACAUAGUCUUCGGGUAGUGUGGCACAAUGAGGUAGUUUGUUUCCUGCAUGUGCUAGGUGUGGUAGAGUCCAUCCAGGGAAGUGUCGUCAGGGUCAGACAGGUUGCUUUAAGUGUGGACAAGAGGGUCACUUCAUGAAGGAGUGCCCUAAGAAUAAGCAAGGUAGUGAAAAUCUGGGCAGUAGGGCCCAAUCUUCUUCAGUUGCUCCCCCAGACUCCGGCACCUAGAGGAGCUACUUCUAGUACAGGCAGAGGAGCGAACCGCCUUUAUGCAAUCACCAGUCACCAUGAGCAAGAGAAUUCUCCAAAUGUUGUCACUGGUAUGAUCAAAGUCUUCGCUUUUAAUGUGUAUGCUUUGUUAGACCCAGGAGCAAGUUUAUCUUUUGUAACUCCUUAUGUUGCAAAUAAGUUUGAGGUUCUUCCUGAAAGACUUUGUGAGCCCUUUCGUGUUUCUACACCCGUUGGGGAGUCUAUUCUAGCAGAAAGAGUUUAUCGUGAUUAUCCUGUUUCCAUCAAUCACAAGAGCACCAUGGCUGAUUUGGUUGAGUUAGACAUGGUAGAUUUCGAUGUCAUUCUAGGUAUGGAUUGGCUUCAUGCCUGUUAUGCAUCAUUAGAUUGUAGAACUCGAGUGGUCAAGUUUCAGUUUCCGAAUGAGCCAGUCUUAGAGUGGAGUAGUAGUUCAGCAGUGCCUAAGGGUCAUUUUAUUUCGUACCUUAAGGCGAGAAAGUUAGUUUCGAAGGGUUGUAUCUAUCACUUAGUCCGAGUUAAUGACUCUAGUGUUGAGAUACCUCAUUUCCAGUCAGUUCCUAUAGUAAGGGAGUUUCCAGAAGUUUUUCCUGAUGAUCUACCCGGAAUUCCUCCCGAUAGAGAAAUAGAUUUCGGCAUAGAUCUCAUUCCAGAUACUCGUCCUAUCUCUAUUCCGCCUUAUAGGAUGGCACCAGCCGAGUUGUCAGCUUCAGGGUGCCACCUUUUUUUCAAAGAUUGAUCUCAGAUCAGGCUAUCACCGGUUAAGAGUAAGGGAAUGUGAUAUUCCAAAGACAGCAUUCAGGACUAGAUAUGGUCAUUUCGAGUUUUUGGUCAUGUCCUUUGGGUUGACCAAUGCACCGACAACUUUCAUGGACUUGAUGAAUAGAGUCUUCAAACCAUAUUUUAGAUAUGUUUGUUAUCGUCUUCAUUGAUGACAUACUAAUCUAUUCAAGGAAUGAAGAAGAUCAUGCUAGUCAUCUCAGAAUAGUUCUCCAGACUUUGAAAGAUAAGGAGUUGCAUGCCAAGUUCUCUAAGUGUGAGUUUUGGCUUAAGUCUGUGGCAUUCCUAGGCCACAUUGUGUCCGGUGAUGGAAUUAAAGUUGAUACUCGGAAAAUUGAGGCAGUGCAGAAUUGGCCUAGACCCACAUCUCCAACUGAAAUUAGGAGUUUCUUGGGGUUAGCUAGCUAUUAUAGAAGGUUUUUAGAGGGGUUCUCAUCUAUUGCAUCUCAUUUGACAAAGUUGACUCAGAAGACAGUGAAAUUUCAAUGGUCUGAAGCUUGUGAGAGAAGCUUUCAGGAAUUGAAAAAGAGGUUGAUUACUGCUCUAGUUUUGACCUUACCAGAAGGUACUCAAGGUUUUGUGGUGUAUUGUGAUGCAUCUAGAGUUGGUUUGGGUUGUGUCUUAAUGCAGAAUGGCAAGGUUAUGCCUCCAGACAGUUGAAAAUACAUGAGAAGAACUACCCAACCCAUGACUUAGAGUUGGCUGCUGUAGUGUUCGCUUUGAAGAUAUGGCGUCAUUACUUAUAUGGUGUGCAUGUUGACAUAUUCACUGAUCACAAGAGCCUUCAAUAUGUGCUUACUCAGAAAGAGCUUAAUCCCAGGCAGAGAAAGUGGUUAGAGUUACUCAAGGAUUAUGACCUGAGUAUUCUUUACCACCCAGGUAAGGCUAAUGUUGUUGCUGAUUCUUUAAGCAGGUUGUCUAUGGGUAGCACCCCCCAUAUUGAAGAAGGGAAGAGAGAGUUAGCAAAAGAUGUGCACAGACUGGCACGCCUGGGAGUCAGACUUAUGGAUUCCACAGAAGAAGGUAUAGCAGUGACGAACGGGGCCGAGUCAUCAUUCAUGUCAGAAGUGAAAGAGAAACAAGACCAAGAUCCCAUUUUGCUUGAGUUGAAGGCAAAUGUUCAAAAGCAGAAAGUAUUAGCUUUUGAACAAGGGGGAGAUGGUGUGUUGAGAUAUCAAGGAAGAUUGUGUGUACCUAUGGUGGAUGGACUCCAAGAGAGGAUUAUGGAGGAAGCUCACAGCUCGAGAUAUUCCAUUCAUCUGGGUUCCACCAAGAUGUAUCGUGACUUAGAGAAGUUUAUUGGUGGAAUGGCAUGAAGAAGGGCAUUGCUGAAUUUGUUACUAAAUGUCCAAAUUGCCAGCAAGUGAAAGUUGAACACCAAAGGCCUGGCGGUUUGGCUCAGAGGAUAGAACUUCCAGAAUGGAAGUGGGAGAUGAUCAAUAUGGAUUUCAUCACAGGGUUGCCAAUGUCUCGCAGACAACAUGAUUCUAUUUGGGUGAUUGUCGAUCGAAUGACAAAGUCAGCUCAUUUUCUACGGGUGAAAACUACCUUUUCAGCAGAAGAUUAUGCCAAAUUGUAUAUUCAAGAGAUAGUGAGACUUCAUGGAGUCCCAAUCUCCAUUAUUUCAAAUAGAGGUGCACAGUUUACUGCACAGUUCUGGAAAUCUUUUCAGAAAGGCUUGGGUUCGAAAGUAAAUUUAAGUACUGCCUUUCAUCCUCAGACUAAUGGGCAAGCAGAGCGUACUAUUCAGACUUUAGAAGAUAUGUUGAGGGCUUGUGUGAUUGAUUUCAAGGGUAAUUGGGAUGAUCACCUACCUCUCAUUGAGUUUGCCUACAAUAACAGUUAUCACUCUAGCAUCCAGAUGGCUCCAUAUGAAGCUCUUUAUGGGAUAAGAUGUAGAUCUCCUAUCGGAUGGUUUGAAGUUAGUGAAGCACAGUUGAUAGGACCAGAUUUAGUUCACCAAGCUAUGGAGAAAGUGAAAGUGAUUCAAGAGAGGUUGAAAACGGCACAGAGUCGUCAAAAAUCCUAUACUGAUGUUAGGAGAAGGGCGUUAGAGUUUGAAGUAGCCGAUUGGGUAUAUUUGAAAGUUUCACCCAUGAAGGGUGUUAUGAGGUUUGGUAAGAAGGGGAAACUUAGUCCCCGGUAUAUUGGACCUUACCGCAUAGCCAAGAGAAUUGGCAAUGUUGCUUAUGAGUUGGAGUUACUACAGGAACUAGCAGCGGUUCAUCCGGUAUUUCACAUCUCUAUGUUGAAGAAGUGCAUAGGAGAUCCUUCAUUGAUCCUGCCGACUGAUAGUGUUGGGAUCAAGGAUAACUUAUCUUAUGAGGAGAUUCAUGUUCAGAUUUUAGAUCGUCAAGUUCGUAGGCUGAGAACGAAAGAUGUAGCAUCAGUCAAGGUUCUUUGGAGGAACCAAUUUGUUGAGGAAGCUACUUGGGAAGCCGAAGAGGACAUGAAGAAGAGAUAUCCACAUCUCUUUGAAUCCGGGGGAAAUGCAGAUUAAGGUAUUAAUUUCCUUCUUAGUGCUCUUUUAAUUAUAAUGAGCAUGUUGCUGUUGUUGUUGUUGUUGUGUUUGCAUAGUUGCUUGUUGAGAGUUUAAGUUGAUGUUACACCCUUAGCCUUGUAAGAGUAACCUCAUUCGAGGACGAAUGUUCCCAAGAGGGAGAUAUUGUAACAUCCGACAAUUUGAAAUAACUAUAAAGAGGCUUAGAAUUGGAAUUAAUCAUUUUUUGGAAGGAAUUCAAAAAUCUGGAAUUUGGCCAAGUAUGGAAAAAAAGUGAGUUUUUGGCCAACUUUGAUCAGCCAUAACUCCUAGAGUAGGAUGAGUUAGGUAUAGUUCCAGUUAUGUUUGCGAAGCUCGUGGAACGAUCUUUCCAACGCAACCAAUUUUACUCGAUUCCGAGUUCGUAUGAGUGAGUUAUACCCUUUGGAAGUUGGGCCACUUGCAGGGAAAUCCGUCCGGAAAUUUUAAGGGCAUUUUGGUCUUUUCCCUAAUCAAUUCUUUUGGUUAUAUUAGAGUGUUGGACUGAUUUUUAGAUCAGUUUGUCCCAUUUUAAAAGAGUGAGAGUGAGGGGUUUGAGUGAAGAAGAGAACAAGAAGAGAAGAAGAGGAGAAGAAGAGGAGAAAGAGGAGAUCAAGCAAGUUUCCGUCGUGGAUAUCGUCGGGGGUGAUCCCUACUAGGUAUGUGAGUUCAUAGUGUUGGGUUGAUCCUUUCCCCCAUACGCCAAGCUCAUUUUAUUUUUGAGCAAAGAUUGGUUAUGUUGUUGAAGUUGUUGGGUUGUGUUGUUGAUGUUGUUGAUUGUGUUGUUAAAGUCCCUUGUUGAUUUGAGACAUGUUUUCCGAUUGUGUUUUUGAGUUGUAAUCUAUUGUAUGUUGAGGGGUUUAUGGUUCUCAGUGUUUGGUGUUGGAACCUUUGAAGUUUGGAAGGUUUAGAGUUGGAGAAACAAGAGAGGAAAGUCGGAAUUUCGGGGAAAAGGGGAUGGGGCGUCGCGCCAGCCAGCGCGCCCCAGCAGGGGCUCUGAAGUUUCCCCUAUGGGGCGCCGCGCCUAGCAGUGCGCCCCAGCAGUCCUUCUGAGCUUCGAGGGCUGGCGCCCGCGCCUUGCAGAGCGCCAAGGAUGCCAAUUUCCCCCAUUCUUCUCACACUUUCUCAUGCAUGUUCCAUGGUAUUAUACCUAUGUUUCNNNNNNNNNNNNNNNNNNNNNNNNNNNNNNNNNNNNNNNNNNNNNNNNNNNNNNNNNNNNNNNNNNNNNNNNNNNNNNNNNNNNNNNNNNNNNNNNNNNNNNNNNNNNNNNNNNNNNNNNNNNNNNNNNNNNNNNNNNNNNNNNNNNNNNNNNNNNNNNNNNNNNNNNNNNNNNNNNNNNNNNNNNNNNNNNNNNNNNNNNNNNNNNNNNNNNNNNNNNNNNNNNNNNNNNNNNNNNNNNNNNNNNNNNNNNNNNNNNNNNNNNNNNNNNNNNNNNNNNNNNNNNNNNNNNNNNNNNNNNNNNNNNNNNNNNNNNNNNNNNNNNNNNNNNNNNNNNNNNNNNNNNNNNNNNNNNNNNNNNNNNNNNNNNNNNNNNNNNNNNNNNNNNNNNNNNNNNNNNNNNNNNNNNNNNNNNNNNNNNNNNNNNNNNNNNNNNNNNNNNNNNNNNNNNNNNNNNNNNNNNNNNNNNNNNNNNNNNNNNNNNNNNNNNNNNNNNNNNNNNNNNNNNNNNNNNNNNNUAUUACUUUUAUAUAUAAGUAAAGUUGAGUUUGUUAUUGUUUUAUCCUUAACGAGAUAAGUUGUUUAUACUGUUUUACAAGCUUUAUAUAUUGCAUGUGUCUUAUUGCUUUAUAUAUUGAGUUCAAUUAUUCAUGAGUCGUACAGAGCCAAGGUAAGUGUUCUCUCGUACUCCUUUCAAGCUUAACUUGUGGUUUAGCUUUCCAGCUCGCUUACUCGUACAUUCCAUGUACUGAUGCCAGUUGACCUGCAUCUUAUUAUGAUGCAGACGCAGGUACCCAUGAGUAGCAUCCAGCACGCUGUUGAUCCAGUUGAGCUCUCUAGAGUCGGUGGUGAGCCUCUUUGCUUUCCGGAGGACUCAGAUAUUUUGUUCUCUUAGUUUUGUUUUAUUAGGAUGUUGCGGGGUCUGUCCCAACAUCCAUCUCAGUAUUAUAGAGGCUUCAUAGACAGUCAGUCAGUUAGUUUUGUGUCUCUCGUCUAUGUAUAUAUAUAAGUAUUCUAUUUUUGAGACUCGAGUUGCCUUUUUGGCCAGAUUUUAUCAGUUAAGUUGUUUAUGUCUUUGCAUGGCAUGGAGUUAUUCUGUUGAGUCAGGUUUCCGCUGAGUUAAGAAAGUCAGGCCAAGGGUUCGCUUGGGGCUAGCAAUGGUCUCCGGGUGCCAGUCCCGCCGAGGGUGUAGGCUUGGGGCGUGACAGAAACAAUGUGCUUGCUUUUGCUAUGAGUUUUUAAAAUGAUUUUUUCGUCACAUAUUUUAAUCUUUCAUUAAUUCUUUUUCGCAGUGCUACUUUCAAUAAAGGUUCUUUUAGUUCUCUCCAUCAUCUCAAGCCUCACCAUUUCAGGUAAGUCUUCUCUCAAUUUUCGUCCUUUUCUUUCUCUGAUUAUGUCAAAUAUCUCAAUUUUAUGGUUUAUAUCCACAUAUGAUGUCAUAAUUACUCUGAUUUCUUUAUAAAAAAAUAGCUAAUAUGUUUCAUGUUUUAUUGUUUACAACUUCUAUUUCUGUCGACUCAAAUCAGCUGAAGUAUUUUAUUAUUUUUUGGUUAUUAGUUGUGUUAUAUUUGAAUGAUAUAUAGUUUGCAAAAAAAUGAUGAUGUUAAUGUAAUUGUUACUACCUCUUAGGCAUUUAAAAAAAAAAAAGAUAUAUAGUUUGCACAGACACAAGAAGUGAUACUUUUGGUAUGACUCACAAUUUUGGAACCAUCUUUUCAGGACAGUUCUUUUGAGUUCUCUUCAUCUUCUCAUCUAAGUGUUGCGAUUUCAGGUUAGAUUUUCUCUCAAUUUUUGUCCUAAUCUUCUCCCGGUUAUCAUUAGAUUUUCCAAUUUGAUGGCUUAUAUUCACAUUCACAGUUGCUAUCAUAAUUAUUUUGAUUUUUUUUACAAAUAACUAAAAUGUUUCAGUGAGGCUUUCUAUUUAAUUAUUUACAACUUCAGUACUUUUAUCUUUAAUUAUUUUUGGUAUACUGUUGGCCUGAGAUAACUUGUUUGGGACUAAGACGUAGUAAUUGACGUGGAUAACUGCAACACUGCUAAGAGAGUAAACACAUCUCAUUUUCUUUGCUUAUAGCCAAAACAUAAACCUACCACGCAAUAUAAAUUCAUACAAUGCAUCCAAACAAUAUUUGGUAUUUUGUUCAAAGUUUUAGCAGCAAAAACAGAGACAUGAUGUAAAAUCAAAAAGAACAAACACAAUAAGUAAAAGAAAUUUCCAAGAAUCAUCCAAGCCAAAUCAAUAGGUUAGAUAAAUUAGUACUAUGAAGUAGAUGGAUCAUUAUAUAUAUAUAUAUAUAUAUAUAUAUAUAUAAUGAUCCAUCUACUUCAUAGUACUAAUUUAUCUAACCUAUUGAUUUGGCUUGGAUGAUUCUUGGAAAUUUCUUUUACUUAUUGUGUUUGUUCUUUUUGAUUUUACAUCAUGUCUCUGUUUUUGCUGCUAAAACUUUGAACAAAAUACCAAAUAUUGUUUGGAUGCAUUGUAUGAAUUUAUAUUGCGUGGUAGGUUUAUGUUUUGGCUAUAAGCAAAGAAAAUGAGAUGUGUUUAACUAUUAAAAUCACAUCUGAUUUUCCUUUCCUAUUGAAAAUUUAUCUUGGACAAGAGUUGGCAGAAUAUUCAAUUGGAUAAUGUCUGUAUGAAUUAGAGAAGGAUUGUGAUUCAACUUUAUCAUGACAAAUUAAUUUAUAGGAAUUGAUUCCAUUCGCUUUUAAAUUGCACAAUCUAAUUGCUAAUAGAACUCUCCUCUCUACGAUGAAUGGGAAGGCACAAAUGACCUUCCGUACAAGCUUAGCCUUUAGUUAUGUUCCUUCAAGUUAUGUAAAAUGUAAUCUAAUGUGAAUUACAUAUGUAUGAUUUACUAUAACCUCCUUACAGGUCUUUCACAGUUGCUAGAUCUCACUACUCCCUUGGAAGCAGAACCUACAUCACAAGCUCUCCUUUGUGGAAUUAAUCUGUAGGAAGAGGAUUCCUGCAUUGUAAAUUUUGAUCCUUAAGUACAGUUCUUUCUUCCUUUUCCCCAUUUUCGCUGCCAUUUCAACUUCCUCUUUUUUUUCUCCUGUUAAAUAACUUUUUUUUAUUUUUGUUCAUUUCCCUUAAACGGAGUUUUUUCUGAAUUCUUAACCCAGAUUCAAGUUUCCUUUACCGUUCUUCCGAAUCAGUCAGUGUCAUCGAUUCAGCUAUAAACAUAAAUACCCAAUCGAUUAUCUAUAACCAUAUUCGAGAUCUGAAACAAACCAAUAGCUAAGAUAUUAUCAUCAAUGGAGACUCGAACGAUUAUGAUCACCAACUAAAAGCUGCCUAUUAAAUUUUUAUUAUCAAGUCAGAUUUAGCUGUCAAUCACCAAAAAAUCCCAAAAUUGGAAAUCAAAAUUUGGAACCAAGCAUCAACAAUGGUGGAUUUCAAAGCUUUCCACCAAAAAGUAUUUCAAUUCAGUAUGAAAAUUUCAAAUUCCAACCUCAAAAGACCAUACCAAAUAAGAUCUCCAUAUUCCAAAUUCAUUAUCAGAGGUUCCAACAUUUUGUAGUCUUGAAAUGCCUACCGACACGAAGUUUUUCUGGUUAGUUGUUGUUGAGUUCCUUUCUAAGGUACACUUAUUUAGCUAUGCAUAAGUUUGAGAGUGUUUAUAUUAGAUACAUUUAGUGUUCCCUUAAGAACCUAAUAAUAAUAUAAAUGUACUAAUAUUACUGUAAUUAAUUUUCCUACAUUGAACAUCGAUAAUUUAUGUUAUAUCUUAUAAUUAAGCAAUACCUUACAAUAUCCUUAUAAUUGAAAGCAAUUUUGGAGUUAAAACUAUAAGAUACAUAAUAACAUAACUUCAUCCAACUUUAACCAUUACAAGCAAAAUUAUUACUCAAAUUCUUUUGUAUGAGAGAAGAAAAUUAGAAUUUCAUUUAAUCCUCUUCAUAAAUGAGAUAACUAAGCUUGAAUUUGGUGUUCUUUAUAAUUACAACAACAACAGAAAAACCCAAUGAAUAGUGAAUCUCGAUUUAGAAGAUUAGAGUGCACGUAGACCCUAUUCCUACCUCGAAUUCUUUAUAAUUCACAAGACUUAUUAAUACAAUUUAUAGGAGCUAUGGUUCGUCAAUGAAGUACAAAGGAUAAGCUAGCCUUCGACCAAUUAUCACAAAUAAUGUCAUAAUUUUCAACUAUUUGGCCUGAUUUACUGUAUGAUAGGAAUAUUUGUGCCUUCUCAUCGAGCUUUUGGCAUGUAGUUGCUGCAAGUUUCUCCUUUCCAUUCUCUUUCUUUCUUUCAUAUUUUGGCAUUCAGGUAUUGUAUCUUGGUAGUUGCUCUCUAUCAAAUUGUGACCCCCCUUAAGCUCUCUAAAUGUCCACAAUGUUCUAUUUCUACUAACCAUAUUGCCUCCUUCAAAAACAUUUCUUUUGAAGGUUAAUAUGACUCAAUAUGGUUUCCAUUUCUCCCUUCUCUUCUCGAUCAUGCAUUUACAUCCUCGGUUUAAAAACUUUAAUGUUAAAUUAUUAUGCAUAAAAAGUUAUUUUGAAUUCCAUAUGAUUCUUGCUUAUUUCGACUUGUUAUACGAGUAGACAUAUAGUACAGUGCGACCUAGCCACCUGAAAUUAUGAGGAGGUGUGAAUUGUAAAAAGAUGUUGUGUUUACAGAUUUUAUAUUCAGACAAUUGCAACAAAAUUGUGCUAGGAAAAGAUGAUGUUAACAAAAUUUAUAUAGGAGGCAUAGUGUGCCAACGUUAUGAGCACUUGUCUAAUAUUUCGUUUAAUUAUAUUGUGCACAAAAAGAGAAUGAACCAAAGUUUUUAAAAAUAUAUAAUAAGUUGUGAUAUGACUAUUGUUGAUGGUCUUUGGCAGUAUGAAUUGUUUCCCUUCUCACAUUAGAGAUGAUCCAAUACUUUCCAAAGACUCCACAUCAAAGAUGAGGAUUAUAUGGAUAGCUUAACAUCAAUUCCACUAGGAGGACUAUGUUCCUGUUAUUUUUGCACAAGAUGUAAUUUCCAGUGAUAUGCUAAGGAAAAAGGAAUGGUAAGAUUGACACUAAGUAGUAAGUACUAAUUAGUAAAUUAUUGUGCCAAGCAUUAUUUUGAUGGCUGAUCUGGAAACCAUUGUGCAUUCUCAUGUUCAACUAUGCAUUUUAAUUAUUUUUAUUAAUCAAAUUGUUAUUUUCUGCUAUUUCUUCCUGUUUUGUUUUCCAUGUGGGUUAUAAUCCUGUUGCAUACAUUAAUUUGUUAUUUUGAUGUUUGUUCUGUUUCUAUGUGGGUUUGGUCUUUUUUAAUUGUGAGUAAUAUAGCAUAUGAUCUUUUCAGCAAAUUUUGAACUUAUAUUUUCAAAGUUUGUCCACUCAAGCAUUGUCUAUGAUCAGAUUGUGUUUUUGUUAUCCUUUCCCAUAGUAUAAGUAGUUAAAAAUUUAAGAUCGGGUGAACCGUGAAUUGCAGGAAGGAAAGUUCCAUUGAGCUUGCAUGUGGAGUAAAAUGUUCAUCAUGCCAUAUGGCAUGAAGGUAAUGGAACAAAAAACAUUGUGAACUAUACCAAGGUAAAUCAUCCUUUCUUGAGUUAUCUCUAUCUUAGUCUAAACAUUUUUUCAUUUGUUUGGCUUAUUAAUGUAGGUUGUAAUAAUGAUGAGGAAUGCGAAUCGGAAAAUCCAAAGAUAUAUAAAAAGGUCCUUCUAAUAUAUCUCAAGUGAAGUGUACUUUCAACUCCAAUAGCAUAAUAUCAUUGGUAUCAGUCCAUGCCCAAUGGUAUUUGAAGCCUUAUCAGGCUAACUGUCUUUCAUUCGCGCAUAUCUGAUAUUUAGGCACGUAGAAACAGUGACUGUUUGUGGUUUUAGGUGAGAACUUCACUUUUCUUUAAAUUUGAUGAUUAAUUGUUAUAAUUUUUUGUAAUGCGCAAGUAACAGAUUAAAUAUAUUUACCAAGUGUAAGAAUAAAUGUUGCUUUAAUACAUGAAAGCUAAAUUCGUCGGGCUCGUGCUUAGCACGGGCAUAUUCUAUCUAGUUUCUAUUAUAUAGAAAUGUGUGAGAGGACAACCAGGGGCAAAUAGGUAAAUUUACAGUAACAAUUCACUCUGUCGGUAGUUCUAGAAUCAUUUGUCAUCAGUUUUCACACUCCAAAUGCAAAAUUUCAACUCACUCUAUGCCCAAUCAUAUUUCUAGAAGCAUCACGUCUUCCCUCCCUCUUGUUCCAAUAACGAUGAAUGGAUUCGCAAGUCUUCAUAGUUCCAGGUAUGUUCUUCUUCAAAUUUCGCAGCAAUCUCUCAAUUUUAUGGCUGAUGUGUAAGCUUAGGUUGUUCUCUCCCAAACAUCGUAAUCUGAAUUCAGUUACUCUGUACUCUUAGCUCUAAGUUCUCUCUCUCAUUCCUUCUCUGUAUUAGAAUGUCGACAAUAUCGCGAUUCCUUAUAGAAGAGAUAGGCAAUUGUUAAAAUCAUAGUUAUUAUGCCCUUCGGACAGAUAUUGAAAUUAAAUUACUGGGAUCGGUAACUAAUGCUUUGAGGGCUCAUCUUCUUCUCACUUUGUGCAAAUCUUGCACACUGAAAUCUAACUGAAAAACUUAUGUGAGCUUAUUCAUUUAUUUUUACACACUUUCCUUUACAGUUGCUCAUAGAAGAAGUUUCAAUGUAAAGUAAAGAGUAAAGAGUUGAGUUCAUUUUCUCAAAAGUUAUUAGGGAACUAAGUAUUUCCCAAAGAAGUUGAUAAAUGUUUUCACAUUUGAGUAAAGAAAGGGGACAUUGAUUCCAAAAGAGCCUUUGGGCUAAGCUUUGAGUAAUUAUCUCAAACUAAAGAAAGAAGUUGUUUUAAAAGCAUGAGCCAAAGUAUUUUUGGGAGUAGUAUUGAGCACCGAAUUGGGGACACGAGUUCAUAUUAACUCAACUGUCCAUAAGAACCAUGCGCCAACAUGGGAUUAAACGGAUCAUACUUUUUAGAUGAUCACGUAAAGUUAAGCUAGUGGAUCCACUUAGAAAAGUUAGCUUCCUAUAUCGAUGGCAAGGUAUAGGAUGGUCCUUNNNNNNNNNNNNNNNNNNNNNNNNNNNNNNNNNNNNNNNNNNNNNNNNNNNNNNNNNNNNNNNNNNNNNNNNNNNNNNNNNNNNNNNNNNNNNNNNNNNNNNNNNNNNNNNNNNNNNNNNNNNNNNNNNNNNNNNNNNNNNNNNNNNNNNNNNNNNNNNNNNNNNNNNNNNNNNNNNNNNNNNNNNNNNNNNNNNNNNNNNNNNNNNNNNNNNNNNNNNNNNNNNNNNNNNNNNNNNNNNNNNNNNNNNNNNNNNNNNNNNNNNNNNNNNNNNNNNNNNNNNNNNNNNNNNNNNNNNNNNNNNNNNNNNNNNNNNNNNNNNNNNNNNNNNNNNNNNNNNNNNNNNNNNNNNNNNNNNNNNNNNNNNNNNNNNNNNNNNNNNNNNNNNNNNNNNNNNNNNNNNNNNNNNNNNNNNNNNNNNNNNNNNNNNNNNNNNNNNNNNNNNNNNNNNNNNNNNNNNNNNNNNNNNNNNNNNNNNNNNNNNNNNNNNNNNNNNNNNNNNNNNNNNNNNNNNNNNNNNNNNNNNNNNNNNNNNNNNNNNNNNNNNNNNNNNNNNNNNNNNNNNNNNNNNNNNNNNNNNNNNNNNNNNNNNNNNNNNNNNNNNNNNNNNNNNNNNNNNNNNNNNNNNNNNNNNNNNNNNNNNNNNNNNNNNNNNNNNNNNNNNNNNNNNNNNNNNNNNNNNNNNNNNNNNNNNNNNNNNNNNNNNNNNNNNNNNNNNNNNNNNNNNNNNNNNNNNNNNNNNNNNNNNNNNNNNNNNNNNNNNNNNNNNNNNNNNNNNNNNNNNNNNNNNNNNNNNNNNNNNNNNNNNNNNNNNNNNNNNNNNNNNNNNNNNNNNNNNNNNNNNNNNNNNNNNNNNNNNNNNNNNNNNNNNNNNNNNNNNNNNNNNNNNNNNNNNNNNNNNNNNNNNNNNNNNNNNNNNNNNNNNNNNNNNNNNNNNNNNNNNNNNNNNNNNNNNNNNNNNNNNNNNNNNNNNNNNNNNNNNNNNNNNNNNNNNNNNNNNNNNNNNNNNNNNNNNNNNNNNNNNNNNNNNNNNNNNNNNNNNNNNNNNNNNNNNNNNNNNNNNNNNNNNNNNNNNNNNNNNNNNNNNNNNNNNNNNNNNNNNNNNNNNNNNNNNNNNNNNNNNNNNNNNNNNNNNNNNNNNNNNNNNNNNNNNNNNNNNNNNNNNNNNNNNNNNNNNNNNNNNNNNNNNNNNNNNNNNNNNNNNNNNNNNNNNNNNNNNNNNNNNNNNNNNNNNNNNNNNNNNNNNNNNNNNNNNNNNNNNNNNNNUUGGCGACAACAAAAGUGUGAGAUUUAAUUGGUACGUGACCGUUAGGAAUCAUGGUUACGCAAGGCUUCCAUGCCUCCAAGUUUGCCACGGUUUAAUAUUUCAGCCCUUCCAAUAUCAAUUCAAUGAACGAGGUAAGUAGUCUAAUUCGUUUGUUGUGGUAUGUUAAAUGCUAUUUCUAACUUCAUUGUAAUUUCACAACUAACAUAAUGACAAUUUAGAUAUUUUGUCCACCUUUAAAGGUAUAGAAACAUCUAGACAACUAUGGUCUACUCGCGUUCAUUUCUCUUCUGCAUUUCUCUUACCCGUGUAGUUCUUCCAUGGUAACACUUCAGAUGUUGCGAUUCCAGGUCAGUUCUCUCAAUCUUUUCCCUUAUAGUUCUCAAUUUCAAAGCUUUCAAAAAACUUGUUCUUUCAGUUCUCUUCCUUUUCACUAUUGGGUGUUCCAAAUCAAUUAAGAUCCUGAAUAAAGUAACAUUCAAGGUUGGCAUUGGGUAUAUUCCUUCUUCCUCCUGAAUUUCAUAGACUAUAUAUAUUUCCUGCUUCACCGCCAAUAACUCUAGAAUGUAUGAAUAGUAGACAGAGACGGGUCUUAUAUUCUUGAAAUUUCUGGUAGAAGAGUUAGAGAACCUGGGAGAACUUGCUUCGACGUGCGUAUCAAUUCUUUGAUUGCCUUGGGUUUUCAAUAGUUCUUUCUCGUGAUUAAUUAAAUGCUCAUAUUGCUCCGUUGAGGUUCAUAUUGCUGUUUCAGUUGGUUGAAUGAACCCUGGCCUACUUUAUGUUAGCUAUCUACACCAACACACCUCUUAAAAUUACACACAAAACCCAUAGGCAACACAAACAUGCCCAUUGACCUUUUCCCCCAACACCUUACAAUUGAGAUAAAUGAUUAGGAUAAAUAACUGAUGUACUGUUUAUUGUAGCCACAUCAAAUUUAAAACUCUCUGUGUAUGUCGUAACUUGAAGCUAGCAAUAUCUUUCGAUGACAUACUAUCCUAAAUUACUCCUACAUUUAUACAAUUUGCUAUUGGAAGUCACUUGCGCUAGGAAAUAUGAAGUUCUUAGCUUUAAUUUAUCACUUACUUUGUUGUUUUAAGUUAUUUUUUAGUUUAUUGCACUGAGAGUUGCUUACAUUUUGAAAAAUGUUGUUCUUAAGCUCUCACCAAUUAUUUACUUGACGUUCACUUUGUGACUGCAAAUUCAUUGAGAAAUGUCGACAAGAUCUAUUUGAAAUAGCUACUAUGACAUCGCGGUAAGGCAUCAAACAAUGAUACUUGAGUUUACCUGAAUCACUCACCAAAUCAUAAGAUCCUGACAAACUUUAUACAAAUUUUUACUUAUUUCAGUUGAAGUUGUCUACAAGUUUGCAAUUAACAUGAGGGUCUAUCUGUUAAAUUUUUUCCUAGAUGAAACAUACGUAUCUUUUAAUGUUAGUUUAUAGCUCUCUGAUUUUUAUUUUUGCACUUAGUUUUAGACUUCUUUAGUUGACGAUUGGUGUUUACUUGGUUUUUGAAGGUAUUUCAAAACACCUCUCUGUUAUGUGGUUUCUGGGAUAGCAAAGGUUGGCUAAAUACACGUAAUCUAGAUUAACUCAUGAAGAGUACAGAAAUAGCUAAUAUAUAAAAGAAUCUUUUUUGGUGAUAUUAUUUAUUGAUGAUGUGAAAUAAAGUUUCAAGUGGCUAGGUACUGAAUUAGCAGUGUUGUCUUUAUCCCUGUUUUCUUUUUUCGAUUGACAAAUUUUAAUAUAUUUAGAUUGAAAUGUAUUUUUGAGCAUAUUAUUUGAUUAGCUAUUUCCCUGAAUAAUACAAGUGGUGAUGAAACCUUAUGUUUUCUAGAGAUUGUGUGUUGAUCUGUUUAUCAACAUUUUUGGUAGCUUAAUUAGGAGAUCAUUAAUACAUUUAUUCAUGUUGUGCAGUUUGAAUCUACAUUGUUUGUUUACUUUUUCUUAUCAAAUGUUGUAAGAACUUUUAGUUUCUUAUUUUACUUAAACUUUCAUACAAACAACAAAGGGCUAUUGGCCUUCCUCCAUACCUAAGAGGCAAUUUUGUGAUGAUUACGUUCAUAUCUAAUGAUGAUUGAUAUUGGAAGACGGUAUGUUGCUCUAAAUUGAUAUAACUGUGAUAUGUGAGAAUCAUGAAACUGUUCGUUAUUCGUAAUAGUUGACUAAUAUUGUAUAUGUUUGGUAUAUGUCUGUUUUAUGAUGUUGUGGUUACUUGCAUGUGUUUCACUUAUUGGGAUAGCCGCGUGAUCCUACCAGUACACUGUGGUUGUGUACUGAUACUGCACUUGCUUGUUCUUUGUUAAGUACAUGGUAUCUUCAGGCGGCUAUUGAUAGACCUCAGCUAAGUGACUAUUGAGCGUGACCGGAUUCAAGGGUGAGCCAGUUCUUUCAGGUUGCCAUGAAUCUUUCUUGUUUAACAAAGAUAGUUAUUAAAUUGUUAGCGCCGCAUAAAAACAUUCCCCCUAGAGUAGCUGCAUUCUUUUCGGGCUUAGACUAUUUGUUUAAGGUGUUUGUUUAGUUUUGGGGUUGUACCCCUUGUUCUUAGACUUGUCGUUAGUAGAGUUUGGUAAAAUGACUUUCAGUUUCUAGGGGUUGUUCUUCCCCAUUAGUUUGGUUAGUUGUUUGUUAAAAGUUGGAGUUUAUGGGGACUCCAUUUUAUUGUCAUUUAAACAUGCUUCCGUAUCUUUAAAUGCCUUAGUUUUCAUAAAGUUUGUUAGUUUGGGUUGUAGUAAUGGUUCUCCCACCAAAGGGUUAGCGUGGGUGCCAAUAACGACAGUUUGGGUCGUGACAAAUUUUCAUAAUCAGAUGUUGAUUUUCAAAUAAAGUGAAAUAAAAAGAUUGUCUAUUUCUCUGUGUUAAUUUAUUUUUCAUAUCUAUUAAAAAUAAAUAAUUAAAAAUAAUAUUUAUUAUCUUAAAAAUAAGAUAUAAUUUAAUUUUAUUUUUCAUGUUUAUACUACUCUAAAUGUGAAAAGAAUAUCAUCAAAUUAAGUGUUUAAUUCAAAUGUAUUUGUUUGACACUAUGUUAAAAUAACCUUGGUGCAUAUGAUAUUGUAUUGUUAAUUAAGACAAUUUAAAUACGUUAUAAGUUAUGAUUUAAUAAAAUAAUAGGUUUAUAUAUAUAUAUAUAUCAUCAUCAUGUGUGAUUUAAAUUAUCAUUUACUAUCAUUAUUAUUAGAAAAUAUUAAUGAUAAUUUCUCUUUUCAAAAAACUAAUUAAAUACCUCUAAUAUAUUUAAGAUUGUAAUAUUGGGCCCGUUAACGGGCCCUCUCAUAUCUAGUUUCUAUAUAAUAGAAAAAUAUCAAAUUUUGGCCGGACAAACUUUAAAUUUAAAUCAAACUUACAUUAGUCCACUGAUAAUUUUUCUUUUCAAAAAUCUAAUUAAAUACCUCAAAUAUAUUUAAGAUUGUAAUAUUGGGCCCGUUAACGGGCCCUCUUAUAUCUAGUUUCUAUAUAAUAGAAAAAUAUCAAAUUUUGGCCGGACAAACUUUAAAUUUAAAUCAAACUUACAUUAUUCCACUAUUUAGAUUAAUAUGUUUGAAAUCAAAUUAAAAUAAAAAUUUGAUUAUAUAAUUUAAUGAAGAACUACUCNNNNNNNNNNNNNNNNNNNNNNNNNNNNNNNNNNNNNNNNNNNNNNNNNNNNNNNNNNNNNNNNNNNNNNNNNNNNNNNNNNNNNNNNNNNNNNNNNNNNACGUCUAGGCCCUAGGCUUGGGUCGUGACAAUUAAUUAUCACACUUAUUUCUUUUCAGGUAUGCUAAUUGAGCCAAAAUAAAAGUGAGAAUAAUUAAUUAUAUUUUUAAAUAAUGAAUUUUCAUAUUAAAGUAUGCAUUUUUAGUAAGUAUAAUGAAUAGAAAAAAUAUUAAGAAUUAAACUAAAGAAAUAGUAAAAUAGAGUAAUGAAUCGAUAUCACAAUAACUCAUAAAAAAGGUGAAGUAAUAACAAAAUGAGUUAAUAGUAAUAACAAUAACUAAAGAUGUUUCUAGAACUGUUUAGUUUUCUUGUCAUCAUUUUCUUGGUAGAUUUUUGUCUGAAGUUACAUUUUUACCUUUGAUUAUCAUUCACUUCAUAUAUAGAAAGAAGUUUCUAGAAUUAUUUAUUUUUCUUGCUAUCUGUCUUAAUAGAUUUUUGUUAGAAUGGAUAUUAUAUUUUUAUUCUUGAUCGUCUUAAAUGCAAUUAUAUCAUCCUAUUCAUUUUUAUUUGUAAAGUUACUUUUUAACAUCUUUUUCUUUAAUUUCAAUCUAAUAUAUAUUAUUAAUUUUAUCACACUUAUUUAUUUUCAAAUAUAUUAAUUAGAUCCAAAAUAAAGUUGAAAAUAAUUAACUCAUAAUAAUUUUAUAUUAAAAGUAGGCAUUUUUGAUAAGCAUAAUGAAUAGAAAAAUACUAAGAAUUAUAUUAAAGUAAUAGUAAAAUAGAGUAAUGAAUAGAUAUCACAAUAACUCACAAUAGAAAAGAAAGUGAAUUAAUAACAAAAUAAGUUACUGGUAAUAACAAUUACUAAAGAUGUUUCUAGAACUAUUUAAUUUUCUUGUUAUCAUUCUUGGUAGAUUUUUGUUAGCGUGAAAUUACAUUUUUACCCUUGAUCAUUAUUCACUUCAUAUAUAGAAAGAUGUUUCUAAAAUUAUUUAUUGUCUUUCUUAAUAGAUUUUUGAUAGAAUGAAAUUACAUUUUUACCCUUGAUCGUCCUACCACUUCACUCUUCUAUAUAAUAGAAACUAGAUUAGCUAUGGCGCCGAACAUGGUUGGUUUUGUUGUUUGCUUUUUUUAUUUUAUUGCAAUAACAAUAUAAAUUACACAGUUCAACUACAUAUAGUCAAAUAUCUUUGUACUAACAUGGGUAGAACAUGACAUUUUUUCAUGUACAUAUGCAAAAAGGAUAAGCUCAUAUACUACCUUUACAUAAUAUUGAUUUAUUCUUACAUCAAGACAGAUAAAAUCAACACUAACAUAUACUAAAGUUUAAACAGACAAUAUCCAAUAGUCUAUGUACGAGAUUGAGGCAAAAUUAGUUACUUCUAUUAUAAUAUAUUAAGUGCAUAAGACAAUUCCAUAAUCAAACAUUUUAGACAUAGAUCAAUAGUCUCUGCCUAAUUUUAAAAAAUUUCCACACUUCAUGACAAAUAUUAUACGUAGCCUUAUCCAUUUUGAAAUUGUAUCCUUUGUUGUCCCUACAGGACCAUGAACAUAGGGAUGUCGCAAUUUGCUUGCAUAAGGGACAUAAAAUUUAGUGUAUUGGUAAUUGUAUCUUGGUAAAGACCCCAACUGGAAAUAAAGGAACCAAAGUCCUUACCAGACUAUCUCUUCCAAAGAAGCGGGCUCAAAAUAAUACUCAUUAUUCACCUUGUCAAGAUUGGAUGUACACCUGUAAUGAAAAAUAAACACAAUCAAUCCAAUAUGUUUUUUUGUCCAGAUGUUGCCAACUUUUAUACCUUUUCAUUAAUUUUCUGAAGCAUCGAGCGCUAAGUGAGGUUGUUCAAGAGUAGAAAGCAGGAGACCAGGUAAAGAACUUACACUAUUCACUCUAGUUAAAACUGCAUGAUCAGUCUUCUCCUCUUCUGAAAGAGAGAAAGGAAACUUCUUCUGUUUAUCAGCUAGCUUACUUCCCGUUAACUUUCUUAUAUAACCUGUGUUGUUUCCAUUCCCAUAAAGAGAUACAAUCAAAAUUCAAUAGUGUCUCACCGUGAAGACGUUUUAAGGCCUUACUAUCGUACUUGCACUCUCCUCUUUUCAAAUACUGUGAGCACAGAUUAAAGAUUCAACAUCAGAGCUGAGAAGUGCUAUGAGGAAUAACAUGGUUACAAAAGAAUUUACAUGCCUCCGUUGCCUCUUUUUCUUUUCGAUCCCCAAUGCUAAUCACACACAAUAAGUAGCAACCCAAAUGCACAUAUUAGUGAACUGAUAAAAGCAAUUCCGAGAAUGAAUUCAAUAUCAACAUAUUACAACAUCAACCACAGUCACAAUCUAAAUCACCGACAAUGAAAUGCAACUAUUCAGAGGUUUUGGCCUCGUAGCAUAUAAUGUAACACAAAUGCAUAUUGAAUUGUGAUUGGUUUGUCGAAGAGACAACUUAAGCUUAAUAUUCAAGACAAAACUAACAAAAAAUUAUCUUAAAAAGAAAACAUCAAUUUAGUACAAUCUACUAAAUUUAAUUAAGAUCUCAUAAGAAUAACAGAAACAUAAUAAUAUUGAAGAAGAGAGAAACUGUAACACCCCGUAUUCUACGUUGCCUUGUGGUAUAGUUAUGGACUUGAAUUUCUAUGCGACUAGUGACAAUAGAAUAGGUUUAAAGUGAGAUAGUAAAAGGUGGUAUUUGAUGUAAGAGUCAAAGUGGUCAAGUGCGUAUUAGUGUUACGGUCUUGUAAAGAAACUAAGAUUGGGAAAAUGGUGUAAAAUAAGUGAGGUGCUUGCUUGACUAAACUGUGCUAGUAGAUGACAAGUAGGUGAUACACCUACUUAGAAUUAGUGGACUGCAUUCUAAGUGGAAAGGGCAAGUAGGUGAUCCACCUACUUAAACACUUGUGGCAGAAAUUAAGGAGGUGAUGCACCUCCUUGCUUAAAAGUAAUGGACCAUAUUAUAUCUCUAAUUUAAUAAGUGAAAACGUCCAAAAGGGACAUCUAAAGAACUCAAUCUUAUCACAUCUCCUUCAUCACUUAUUCUCCAAAAAAUUGCUCCCAAGGAAAGCCAUUGAAGCUCCAAGAGUUCUAGACUAUAGCUUCACCAUUAAAAUUUGAAGCAAAGCCUUUCUUUUUAAAGUACAAGUUAGUAGAACAUACCCAUCUUAAGGAAUUUAGGUGAAUAAUUUGAUUUAACAUCAAGUUAUGGGGGAGAGGACAACCUAAACCUGGAAGAAUCCAAGUCUUAGCAAGUGAGGAUUCUAUCCAGCAAGAUAAAUAAUCUGAAAGGAAGACGAUUAACUCAUUGUAAUAUCCAAAGUUGUGCAACAAGGUAUGUAAGGCUAUUCGAUUUCCUAUUUCUUUGGCAUGAAUCCAACACUUGUAUUACAAAAAGUAAGCUUUCUAAGUGCCCUUGGUAGUGACUAAUCCAUAGUUGUUAUUCCUACUCCCUAGAGCAUUAAAGUGAGUACUCUAAUAUGAGUUUAUUACUAAAUGUGCGUGCUUACUCUACCAAGUAUUAGCAUGCAAGGUUUAAACGUGUUUCAUCGCCAAAGUACCCUUGGCAUGUAUUCCCCUUAUAUAAAUCAAAGUGAUCCUAGAUUACACAUGGUACAUAUGUUUAUAUGUUGGAUAUACAGUCUGCCCAUUUCAAGCAAACUUCCUUCAAUUGUCUAUUCCAUCAUAUAUGUCAUCUUGUCACAUGUUCAUAUGUUCCCUUUAUUGGUUAUUACUUCCAUUGUGUUAGACUAUUAUGUAACAAGAUCCCCACUUGCUCUAUUGUACAUUUUAUAUGUACGUACUUGGAAUAUGUAUCCGUCCUUAAGUUGAAUCUGCCCACGUUCUCCCUUGGUUGUACUUUCAUGUGUACCUUGUAGUUGAUAUUAGUUAGUGAGUAUUUGGAUACCAUAUAGAGUUCAAAUCUCUUGGCUGAAUGUUAAAUGUCUUCACUAGAUAUGUGAUUCAAUUUGAGAUGUCAAAAUGCUUACUGAGUCAUAUAAGCUCCUAAGUAUUAAGUUGGUGUCACAUUUGCUUCCCAUGUCAUUGUUAUUAUCGUAAGUCCAUAUUCACAUGUCUUCCACUACUGGUCAAAAGUUCCAAAUCUCAACAAUGAUGAUGACCACCUAAACAACAAUCUCAAAAGAGUUAUGAUCAUCAAAAAAAUAAUAUCAAAAAAGUUAUGAACAUCAAAACAACAAUCUCAAGGAUUAAAGAAUCUAAGAGAAGCAAUUUGUAUAAUGAUGGGUGGCAGCCUAGGUGCAAAUGCCUAGCAUGAGUCGAUCUCAAUUAGUAUGGAAGAGUGGCAGCUCCGGGACGAAAGCCUAGCAUGGGCCGAUCCCAAUUAGUAUAGAAGGGUGGCUGCUCAGGGGCAAAAGCCUAGCAUGGGCCGAUCCCAGUUCGUUGAAUUAUGAAGACAGCAUCCCAGGGGUUAAAUACCUAGCAUGGGUCAUCCUCUUGUACCACUGAUCAGCUGGUCAUUGGUAUCAUAUGCCUUAUAAAGAUUAGAACACACAGAAAAGUAAAGAAAAGAAUGUAAUAUACACGAUUCAAAAAGUAUAAGCAAAUGUGGUCUCUAAUCCUUACCUAUUUGUAUUUGGUUUCACUUGAGCUCUCAUUUUACAUAUGGUUGUAUUAUGCCAUACAUAUUCAGUAUAUUCUUCCGUACUGACAUCCCUUAUUAGGGACGCUGCAUUCCAUGCUGCAGUAUAAUUACUCAACUAGUAGAUCUCCCCCGUAGAAGCACAUGAUACUCAACGGUUGUUGGUGAGCUCCAGGUUGAUUUGGGGCUUUGCCGAGUCUUUACUAUGCGUAUUUUGAUAGUUGUACAGUCGUGGAUUCUAGUAUAGGCUUUGUAGAUAUUUUAAAACUAUCAUUUGUAUUCAUAGUUUUACCUGUCACAUGUAUUGGUUCAGCUAGUCGACAUGUGUUGUAUUAGCUUCUCAGUAGCAAAUCUAUAUGCAUAGUAGUUCACUUUCUCGUCGUAGGUCACUUGUAAAGCAUGUGUUCAUAUGGUACUUGUCCGCCUAACCUAGGGUGGGGUGUGACAAAAGUGGUAUCAGAGUCGUUCAUCCUACGGAGUCUACAAAGCCGUGUCUAGUAGAGCCAUACUUAUGAAUGUGUUGUGUGCCAUAUUUAUAAAUAGGGACUGCUUGGACAUUUAGCAAAUGUUACCUUCCUUCAUAAUCUAAAUCGUGCGAUAGAGCGAAGUUAAGAAGUCAAUUUCCACUUGUACCUGAUCAUGUUAGUCAUAUUAUGCGUACUAUGGUUAAGGUUAUUGGUAGCUAAAAUGUCAACAAAACUUUAUUGAGCUCAUUUUAUUCGACCAUCCUACUCCACAAGGUAUGUAAAGGUUUUUAUGUUAGUUUCAUCUAAAGUUGCAUUUGUACCAUUUGUAUCACGUUUGUUCAGUUGAGAAAGAUAUAGUAUGCUUAUCCAUAUUCUUAAAAAAUGAUGGGUUACCUUGUUACAUAUAGGAGCUGUAGCAUUUCCAACCACAUCUUCUUAGGAGGAUAUACCCACUCUUGAGUUCUAUAUUUCCCCAUAUUUACAGGAUCUAUUCCUAAAGAGGACACUCGUUCUUAGUCUAUGAUAUACAUAGAAUUUUCAGCGUUACACAUGUACUCGAAAUUGAUGUUGUGGAAACCAGUUUCUUUUAGUUGGAAAAAGGCAGUGACACAAUCUGAUAGGUGCAUGUACCAGUGCAAUUCUGUUACUAGAGAGGUACCUAAUUGGCUGACAAGGCCCAAAUUCUCACCAUAUAUCAUCCCAAAUAUGUUAAUAGUUGGCAUUUUAUAUGAUAUGUGCCAACUACCCCGAAUAAGUACUAAUAACAUUUAUAUUCUUUUCAUGAUUAUAAAACUUAGGGACAAGUGUGCUAAUUGCUGCAAAUGAUAUAUGGAUGGCAGUUCCUACUACAAUCUAUAUUUUGGUGAUAGAGGAUUAGUAUGUGACCAAAGGGUAAGGUUAACAAAAGGAAAAUUGAUUGGUUAGACCUAAAUUGUGAUUAAUGAGGUUGUACAUAGUGGGAUUAGAGCACAUGAAGCUACUAGUUUUGAUUAAAAGGUACUUGUUAGACAGGAAGCAUGUGAGAAUGAAGCGUGAAUGACACAUGCCGAAUAUGUACGUAGAGCUUCUAGUUAGAAAGAGAUUGUACAUGUAAAAUCCCCUAAACAUAGGAGUAGGGGUGAUAUGAGGAUGCUAUAGAAGAGUGAGAUAGAUGGUUACGAAAGAGUGGUUGCUACGUGUAUGAGGCAAGAAUAAGGUAUCAACCUUCAACCCUAACAAGUUAUAAAGGUGCACCUUGGAACAACUUUGUGAACCUUUGUUAGAUAGAAAAGUCAUUUUAGUAUUGCUUCAAGCUUUGAUAUUUGGUCUUGAUAACAAAAAAAAAAAAAAAGGGAAUAGAAAGGCUACCUGGAGAGAAGAUACAUGGACAUAAUUCAUCUACAUCAUUAGUACAAAAGAGAAGUAGAGCAUUAUACACAUGUAUAGACUUCCAUCAAUUGAAUAGAGCUAUUACAUGAUUCAUUUAAUAUAUGCCUAUAGUAAUUCAUCAAUCAUAGUCCAAUUAAGGGAGAGGAAAAAUUCAUCAUAUGCUAGUUGUUCGUAUUUGAUAUCUUGCAUGGGAAAAGAGUGGGAGCACCCUCACUUGUUAUAAAAAAAAUGAGGAAAUUUAUUAGCAUGGCCAGACCUAUCUAGUUAAGCCGAAAGCCGGCUAACUGUAAGACGUUAUGAAUCAUGAUAUAACUUUAUAGGUACCUGACAUUAGAGUUCAUGUUUUAUGGUCUGUUCAAGUUUCACUAUUUAUUUUCUAUUUUGACCUUGAAAAGGCACCAGACAUUGAGUGUGAUGUUACACAAACUAGUAAAAGAGGUAAAGUUGACCUCGACCUCUUACUCUAAAAGAUGAACCAUUGCAGAUUUUUUUCUCUCUAUCUUAAAUGUAGUAUUUAUAUUAACCUAGAAGGAAGCCAAUCCCCAAUAGCAGAACACCUAUAAUAAUUCUGAGGAGAUUGAAGAGAGUAAAUGGGGAAAUCAAUUGUAUAUGCUUUGAGGUGAGUAAGGAAUAUGAGCAGAACUAUCCCACCCGUGACCUAACUCUUAAGACAAUGUUUUUUUCCCAUAAUAUGGUAAAGUGGUUCUAUAGGAUAUCUCAUAGUUUUCAAAGAUGGUUUGUUAUAUAAUUAUAUAUGCUACAUGUUCUAUAACUCAUCUUUUUGUAUGACAUUUGUCCUUUAUGGAUUACUUUCUCACAUGUUACCUAAUGUCAUAGAAUGCUUGCAUGUAAGUGGUUUCCGCUUCGGAGCACCCUUGCUUAUUGCUAUAUGUUUUCGUAGGACCUUUCCCUACAUGUUGUUUAUUGCACUGGUUACUUCCCAGAGCACCCUUGUUUAUUGUUGUAUGUUUUCGUAGGACCUUUUUCCCUACAUGUUAUUUACUGCACUGGCUACUUCCCACAUGUCACUUGUCCAUAUUGUGUGGGUAUUGCAGGAUAAUUGAUUAUAUGCUAUGGGCAAAAUUAGUGCUUAUAUGAAUCGCAUACCACUUGUUUGCAUGUCAUAUGCAUCAUAAACCAUUUCUAUAUAUAUUACAUGCCUUGUAGCCUACUUGCUUAAACAUUACAGGCCUUAUAGCUUUUAUGGCCAUGUGUCAUGUGCUCAUCUAGUCCAUUUGCUACAUGCCUUAUAGUACAUUGGCUCACACGCUGCCCUAUAAUUCAUAUGUGCACAUACACUACAUAUUUAUAUAGCCUAGUGCCCGUAUAUUAUGCGCUCCCUUUUGUGCUAGUCUGCCUAUGUGUCAUACCCAAUGUGACUUAUUUCUCCAUAUACUAUGCCCAUCUGUGCUUAUUGACUUGAGUUUUGAACAUUUUGGGAAAACGUUUCCUUGUAUCAUUAUGUAGUGAAGAUUUUGACCAGAAAAGGUUGGGCAUAUAUAUAAAUUUUAUCACAAUCAUAGAUAAAUUACUUAGAAUAAUGCCUCAUUCGAGGGUGCGACAUAAAAUUUAGAGUUUAUAUUAACACGUAUGCGUUAUUAUAAGACUCACCUCUAAAAAGGGUCAUAAGAUAAAAGAGAAGGGAAAGUAGAGCCCCGAUAGGUUAGGCCUAUGAUUUUAUGUGUCCGUUCCAUAUAGUUGUUUUUAGGAAAUACUAUAGUUAUUCUUGAUUGUUAAGGCCCGAAAGCUAAGAACAAAAGGUGUAACCUCCAUUGAGGUGUUGUGGAAGGACUAGAAUAUAACGUAAGAUACUUGGGAAUAAAAGAUGGUAGAGAUCCUAAACACCCCUCCACAUUCUAAACAUCAACAUAAGGAUAUGAGAUCAUAUGGUCCCCUUAUAUGAUCAUAAGUCCUACUAGCAUUUGUUCAUUUGAUAUGCCAUUUGCAUGUUUUUUGUUUAGUAGGUAUAUUAAAUUUCUUAUUUGUAUGAGUUCUACUUGUGUAUCAUCAGUGAAUUAUAUGGUCAAGAAAGGGGUUUAAUUACUCAUAUUUAUAUUUCAUGAACCAUAUCUAGUGAGACAUCAUGCGAGACUUUUCUCUGUGUUUUAGGUUAUUCUAUAGAUUUUGGAUAUUCCAGUUGAUAAAAGGAACUCUCGCAAAUCUCCAAAUGAAAUUCAAGAUUAACCAAACUAUCAACUACACCUAUCAUUCGUCCUCGAAUGAUCAUAAGGGGGGAAGGAUGUGACACCACAUAUUCUACGAUGCCUUGUGGUAUAGUUAUGGACUCAGAUUUCUAUGCGACUAGUGACAAUAGAAUAGGUUUAAAGUGAGAUAGUAAAAGUUGGUAUUUGAUGUAAGAGUCAAAGUGGUCAAGUGCGUAUUAGUGUUAUGGUCUUGUAAAGGAACUAAGACUGGGAAAAUGGUGUAAAAUAAGUGAGGUGCUUGCUUGACUAAACUGUGCUAGUAGGUGACAAGUAGGUGAUACACCUACUUAGAAUUAAUGGACUGCAUUCUAAGUGGAAAGGGCAAAGUAGGUGAUGCACCUACUUAGAAUUAGUGGACUACAUUUUAAGUGAAAAGGGCAAGUAGGUGAUCCACCAACUUAAAAACUUGUGGCAGAAAUUAAGGAGGUGAUGCACCUACUUGUUUAAAAGUAAAGGACCAUAUUAUAUCUCCAAUUUAAUAAGUGAAAACGUCCAAAAGGGACUCUAAAGCACUCAAGCUUAUCACAUCUCCUUCAUCACUUAUUGUCCAGAAAAUUGCUCCCAAGGAAAGCCAUAGAAGCUCCAAGAGUUCUGGUUUAUAGCUUCACCAUUAAAAUCUGAAGCAAAGCCUUUCUUUUUAAAGUACAAGUUAGUAGAACAUAUCCCAUCUAAAGGAAUUCAGGUGAAUAAUUUGAUUUAACAUCAAGUUAUGCGGGAGAGGACAACCUAAACCUGGAAGAAUCCAAGUCUUAGAAAGUGAGGUUUCUGUCCAGCAAGAUAAAUAAUCUGAAAGGAAGACGGUUAGCUCAUUGUAAUAUCCAAAGCUGUGCAGCAAGGUAUGUAAGGCUAUUCGAUUUCCUAUUUCUUUGGCAUGAAUCCAACACUUGUAUUACAAAAGACAAGCUUUCUAUGUGCCCUUGGUAGUGACUGAUCCAUAGUUGCAGUUCGUACUCCCUAGAGCAUUAAAGUGAGUACUCUAAUAUGAGUUUAUUACUAAAUGUGCGUGACUUUAACUCUACCAAGUAUUAGCAUGCAAGGGUUAAACGUGUUUCAUCAUCAAAGUACCCUUGGCACGUAUUCCCCUUAUAUAAAUCAAAGUGAUCCUAGAUUACACAUGGUACAUAUGUUUAUAUGUUGGAUAUACAAUUUGCCCAUAUCAAGCUAACUUCCUUCAAUUGUCUAUUCCAUCAUAUAUGUCAUCUUGUCACUUGUUCAUAUGUUUCCUUUAUUGGUAAUUACUCCCAUUGUGUUAGACUAUUGUGUUACCUCACAAGAUCCCUAGUUGCUCUAUUUUACAUUUUAUAUGUGCGUACUUGGAAUAUGUAUCCGUCCUUAAGUUGAAUUUUCCCACGUUCUCCCUUGGUUCCAUUUUCAUGUGUACCUUGUAUUUGAUAUUAGUUAGUGAGUAUUUGGAUACCAUAUAGAGUUCAAAUAUCUUGGCUGAAUGUUAAAUGUCUUCACUAGUUUGUUCUUCAAUUUGAGAUGUCAAAAUGCUUACUGAGUCAUAUAAGCUCCUAAGUUUUACGUUGGUGUCACAUUUGCUUCCCAUGUCAUUUUUAUUAUCUUAAGUCCAUAUUCACAUGUCUUUUACUACUGGUCAAUAGUUCCAAAUCUCAACAAUGAUUAUGACCACCAAAACAACCAUCUCAAAAGAGUUAUGAUCAACAAAAGAAUAAUCUCAAAUGAGUUAUGAACAUCAAAACAACAAUCUCAAAGACUAAAGAAUCUAAGUGAAGCAAUUUGUAUAAUGAUGGGUGGCAGCCCAGGGGCAAAUGUCUAGCAUGGGUCUAUCCUAAUUGGUAUGGAAGGGUGGCAGCUCAGGGGUGAAAGCCUAGCAUGGGUCGAUCCCAAUUGGUAUAGAAAUGUGGCAGCUCAGGGGCAAAAGCCUAUCAUGGGCCGAUCCCAGUUGGUUGAAUUAUGAUGACAACAUCCCAGGGGUUAAAUACCCUGCAUGGGUCAUCCUCUUCUACCACUGAUCAGCUGGUCAUUUGCAUCUUAUGCCUUAUAGAGAUUAGAACGCACUAAAAAGUAAAGAAAAGAAUGUAAUAUACACGAUUCCAAAAGUAUAAGCAAAGAUGGUCUCUAAUCCUUACCUAUUUGUAUUUCGUUUCACUUGAGCUCUCAUUUUACAUAUGGUUGUAUUAUGCCUUACAUAUUCAGUACAUUCUUUCGUUACUACGUCCUUUAUUGGGGACGCUGCAUUCCAUGUUGCAGGUACAAGUACUCAACUAGUAGAUCUCCCCCAUAAAAGCACAUGAUACUCAGCGGUUGUUGGUGAGCUCCAGGUUGAUUCGGGGCUUUGCCGAGUCUUUACUAUGCAUAUUUUGAUAGUGGUACAGUCGUGGAUUCUAGUAGAGGCUUUGUAGACAUUUUAAAACUAUUAUCUGUAUUCAUAGUUUUACCUGUCACAUGUAUUGGUUCAGCUAGUCGACAUGUGUUGUAUAUGUAGCUUCUCAGUAGCAAAUCUAUAUGCAUAGUAGUUCAGUUUCUCAUCAUAGGUCAAUUGUAAAACAUGUGUUCAUAUGGUACUGGUCCGCCUAAUCUAGGGUGGGGUGUGACAAAAGUGGUAUUAGAGUCAUUCGUCCUAGGGAGUCUACGAAGCCGUGUCUAGUCUUACUUAUGAAUGUGUUGCGCGCCACAUUUAUAAAUAGGGGCUGCUUGGACAUUUAGCAUAUGUUACCUUCCUAUAUAAUCUAUAUCCUGCGAUAGAGCGAAGUUAAGAAGUCAAUUUCCACUUGUACCUGAUCUUGUUAUUCAUAUUAUGCUUACUAUGGUUAAGGUUAUUGGUAGCUAAAAUGUCAACAAGACUUUAUUGAGCUCAUUUUAUUCGACCAUCCUACUCCACAAGGUAUGUAAAGGCUUUUAUGUUAUUUGCAUCUAAAGUUGCAUUUGUACCAUUUGUAUCACGUUUGUUCAGUUGAGAAAGAUAUAGUAUGGUUAUCCAUAUGCUUAAAAAAUGAUGGGUUACCUUGUUACAUAUAGGAGUUGUAGCAUUUUCAAGCACAUUUUCUUAGGAGGAUGAAACCAACUCUUGAGUUCUAUAUUUCCUCCAUAUUUACAGGAUCUAUUCCUAUAGAGGACACUCGUUCUUAGUGUGUGAUAAACAUAGAAUUUUCAGCGUUACACAUGUACUCGAAAUUGAUGUUGUGGAAACCAGUUUCUUUUAGUUGGAAGAAGGCACUGGCACAAUUUGAUAGGUGCAUGUACCAGUGCAAUUGUGUUACUAGAGAGGUACCUAAUUGGUUGACAAGGCCCAAAUUCUCACCAAAUAUCAUCCAAAAUAUGUUAAUAGUUGGCAUAUUAUAUGGUAUGUGUCAACCACCCCGAAUAAGUACUAAUAACAUUUAUAUUCUUUUCAUGAUUAUAAAACUUGGGGACCAGUGUGCUAAUUGUGGCAAAUGAUAUAUGUAUGGCAGUUCCUACGACAAUCUAUAUUUUGGCGAUAAAGGAUUAGUAUGUGACCAAAGGGUAAGGUUAGCAAAGGGAAAAAUGAUUGGUUAGACCUAAAUUGUGAUUAGUGAGGUUGUACAUAGUGGGAUUAGAGUACAUGAAGCUACUAGUUAGAGAUGAAGCAUGUGAGAAUGAAGCGUGAAUGACACAUGUCGAAUAUGUACGUAGAGCUUCUAGUUAGAAAGAGAUUGUACAUGUAAAAUCCCCUAAACAUAGGAGUAGGGGUGAUAUGAGGAUGCUAUAGAAGAGUGAGAUAGACGGUUACGAAAGAGUGAUUGCUACGUGUAUGAGGCAAGAAUAAGGUAUCAACCUUCAACCCUAACAAGUUAUAAAGGUGCACCUGGGAACAACUUUGUGAACCUAUGUUAGACAUAAAAGUCAUUUUAGUAUUGAUUCAAGUCUUGAUAUUUGGUCUUGAUAACAACAAGAAAAAAAAAGGGAAUAGAAAGGUUACCUGGAUAGAAGAUACGUGGACCUAGUUCAGCUACAUCAUUAGUACAAAAGAGAUGUAGGGCAUUAUACACAUGUAUAGACUUCCAUCAAAUUGAAUAGAGCUAUUACAUGAUUCAUUUAAUAUAUGCCUGCAGUAAUUCAUCAAUCAUAGUCCAAUGAAGGGAGAGGAAAAAUUCAUCAUAUGCUAGUUGUUCGUAUUUGAUAUCUUGCAUGGGAAAAGAGUGGGAGCACCCUCACUUGUUAAUAAAAAAAUGAGAAAAUCUAUUAGUAUGGCCAGACCUAUCUAGUUAAGCCGAAAGCGGCUAACUCUAAGACGUUAUGAAUCAUGAUAUAACUUUAUAGGUACCUGACAUUAGAGUUCAUGUUUUAUGGUCCGUUCAAGCUUCACUAUUUAUUUUCUAUUUUGACCUUGAAAAGGCACCAGACAUUGAGUGUGAUGUAACACAAACUAGUAAAAAAAGGUAAAGUUGACCUCGGCCUCCUACUCCAAAAGAUGAACUAUUGAGGAUUUUUUCUCUCUAUCUUAACUGUAGUAUUUAUAUUGACCUAGAAGAAAGCCAAGUCCCAAUAGCAGAAAACCUAUAAGAAUUCUAAGGAGAUUGAAUAGAGUAAAUAGGGAAAUCAAUUGUAUGUGCUUUGAUGUGAGUAAGGAAAAUGAGCAUAACUAUCCCACCCGUGACCUAACUCUUAAGAUAGUGUUUUUUCCCCUUAAUAUGGUAGAGUGGUUCUAUAGGAUAUCUCAUAGUUUUCAAAGAUGGUUUGUUGUAUAAUUAUAUAUGCUACAUGUUCUAUAACUCAUCUAUUUGUAUGACAUUUGUCCUUUAUGGAUUACUUUCUCACAUGUUACCUAAUGUCAUAGAAUGCUUGCAUGUAAGUGUAAUCCGUUUCGGAGCACUCUUGUUUAUUGCUAUAUGUUUUCGUAGGACCUUUCCCUACAUGUUAUUUAGUGCACUGGUUACUUCCCACAUGUCACUUGUCCAUAUUGUGUGGGCACUGCAGGAUAAUUGAUCAUACGCUAUGGGCAAAAUUCGCGCUUGUGGGUUAUAUGAAUCGCAUACCACUUGUUUGCAUGUCAUAUGCAUCAUAAACCAUUUCUAUAUAUAUUACAUGCCUCGUAACCUACUUGCUUAAACAUUACAGGCCUUAUAGCUUUUAUGGCCAUGUGUCAUGUGCUCAUCUAGUCCAUUUGCUAAAUGCCUUAUAGUACAUUAGCUCACACGCUACCCUAUAAUUCAUAUGCGCACAUACACCACAUAUUUAUAUAGCUUAAUGCCCGUAUAUUAUGCGCUCCCUUUUGUGCUAGUCUGCCUAUGUAUCAUACCCCUCUGUGCUUAUUGACUUGAGUUUUGAACAUUUUGGGAAACGUUUCCUUGUAUCAUUAUGUAGUGAAGAUUUUGACCAGAAAAGGUUGGGCAUAUAUGUAAAUUUUAUCACAACCAUAGAUAAAUUACUUAGCAUAAUGCCUCAUCCGAGGGUGCGACAUAAAAUUUAGUGUUUAUAUUAACACGGAUGCGUUAUUAUAAGACUCACCUCUGAAAAAGGUCAUAAGAUAAAGGAGAAGGGAAAGUAGAGCCCUGAUAGGUUAGGCUUAUGAUUUUAUGUGUCCGUUCCACAUAGUUUUUUUUAGGAAAUAAUAUAGUUAUUCUUGAUUGGUAAGGCCCGGAAGCUAAGCACAAAAGGUGUAACCUCCAUUGAGGUAUUGUGAAAGGACUAGAAUAUAACGUAAGAUACUUGGGAAUAAAAGAUGGUAGAGAUCCUAAAUACCCCUCCUCGUUCUAAACAUCAACAUAAGGAUCUGAGAUCAUGUGGUCCCCUUAUAUGAUCAUAAGUCCUACUAGCAUUUGUUCAUUUGAUAUGUCAUUUGCAUGUUUUGUGUUUAGUAGGUAUAUUAAAUUCCUUAUUUGUAUUAGUUCUACUUGUGUAUCAUCAAUGAAUUAUAUGGUCAAGAAAGGGGUUUAAUUAGUCAUAUUUAUAUUUCAUGAACCAUAUCUAGUGAGACAUCAUGCAAGACUUUUCUAUGUGUUUUAGAUUAUUCUAUAGAUUUUGGAUAGUCCUGUUUACAAAGGGAACUCUCGCAAAUCUCCAAAUGAAAUUCAAGAUUAACCAAACUAUCAACUACACCUAUCAUUCGAGGACGAAUGAUCAUAAGGGGGGAAGGAUGUAACACCCCGUAUUCUACGUUGCCUUGUGCUAUAGUUAUGGUCUCAGAUUCUUAUGCGACUAGUGACAAUAGAAUUUGUUUAAAGUGAGAUAGUAAAAGGUGGUAUUUGAUGUAAGAGUCAAAGUGGUCAAGUGCGUAUUAGUGUUACAGUCUUGUAAAGAAACUAAGAUUGAGAAAAUGGUGUAAAAUAAAUGAGGUUCUUGCUUGACUAAACUGUGCUAGUUGGUGACAAGUAGGUGAUACACCUACUUAGAAUUAGUGGACUGCAUUCUAAGUGGAAAGGGCAAAGUAGGUGAUGCACCUACUUAGAAUUAGUGGACUUCAUUUUAAGUGAAAAAGGCAAGUAGGUGAUCCACCUACUUAAAAACUUGUUGCAGAAAUUAAGGAGGCGAUGCACCUGCUUGCUUAAAAGUAAAGGACUAUAUUAUAUCUCCAAUUUAAUAAGUGAAAACGUCCAAAAGGGACCUCUAAAACACUCAAACUUAUCACAUCUCCUUCAUCACUUUUUCUCAGAAAAUUGCCCCCAAGGAAAUCCAUAGAAGCUCCAAGAGUUCUGGUCUAUAGCUUCACCAUUAAAAUCUGAAGCAAAGACUUUCUUUUUAAAGUACAAGUUAGUAGAACAUAUCCCAUCUUAAGGAAUUCAGGUGAAUAAUCUUAUUUAAUAUCAAGUUAUGGGGGAGAGGACAACCUAGCUAAACCUUGAAGAAUCCAAGUCUUAGCAAGUGAGGUUUCUGUCCAGCAAGAUAAAUAAUCUGAAAGGAAGACAGUUAACUCAUUGUAAUAUCCAAAGUUGUGCAACAAGGUAUGCAAGGCUAUUUGAUUUCCUAUUUCUUUGGCAUGAAUCCAACACUUGUAUUACAAAAAGUAAACUUUCUAAGUGUCCUUGGUAGUGACUGGCUACUCCCUAGAGCAUUAAAGUGAGUACUCUAAUAUGAGUUUAUUACUAAAUGUGUGUGCUUACUCUACCAAGUAUUAGCAUGCAAGGUUUAAACGUGUUUCAUCGUCAAAGUACACUUGGCACGUAUUCCCCUUAUAUAAAUUAAAGUGAUCCUAAAUUACACAUGGUACAUAUGUUUAUAUGUUGGAUAUACAAUCUGCCCAUAUCAAGCCAACUUCCUUCAAUUGUGUAUUCCAUCAUAUAUGUCAUCUUGUCACAUGUUCAUAUGUUCCCUUUAUUGGUUAUUACUCCCAUUGUGUUAGACUAUUAUGUAACCUCAUAAGAUCGCUAGUUGCUCUAUUGUACAUUUUAUAUGUACGUACUUCGAAUAUGUAUCCGUCCUUAAGUUGAAUCUGCCUACGUUCUCCCUUGGUUCCACUUUCAUGUGUACCUUGUAUUUGAUAUUAGUUAGUGAGUAUUUGGAUACCAUAUAGAGUUCAAAUCUCUUGGUUGAAUGUUAAAUGUCUUCACUAGAUAUGUGCUUCAAUUUUGAGAUGUCAAAAUGCUUACCGAGUCAUAUAGGUUCCUAAGUUUUACGUUGGUGUCACAUUUGCUUCCCAUGUCAUUGUUAUUAUCGUAAGUCCAUAUUCACAUGUCUUCUACUACUGGUCCAUAGUUCCAAAUAUCAACAAUGAUUAUGACCACCAAAAUAACAAUCUCAAAAGAGUAAUAAUCAUCAAAUGAAUAAUCUUAAAGGAGUUAUGAACAUCAAAACAACAAUCUCAAAGAUUAAAGAAUCUAAGUGAAGCAAUUUGUAUAAUGAUGGGUGGCAGCCCAAGGGCAAAUGCCUAGCAUGGGUCGAUCCUAAUUGAUAUGGAAGGGUGGCAGCUCAGGGGCGAAAGCCUACCAUGGGCCGAUCGCAAUUGGUAUAGAAGGGUGACAGCUCAGGGGUAAAAGCCUAACAUGGGCCGAUCCCAGUUCAUUGAAUUAUCAGGACAACAUCUCAGGGGUUAAAUACCUAGCAUGGUUCAUCCUCUUCUACCACUGAUCAGCUGGUCAUUUGUAUCAUAUGCCUUAUAAAGAUUAGAACACACAAAAAAGUAAAGAAAAAAAUGUAACAUACACGAUUCCAAAAGUAUAAGCAAAGGUGGUCUCUAAUCCUUACCUAUUUGUAUUUGAUUUCACUUGAGCUCUCAUUUUACAUAUGGUUGUAUUAUGCCUUACAUAUUCAGUACAUUCUUUCGUACUGACGUCCCUUAUUGGGGAUGGUGCAUUCCAUGCUGCAGGUAGAUGUACUCAACUAGUAGAUCUUCCCUAUAGAAGCACUUGAUACUCAGCGGUUGUUGGUGAGCUCCAGGUUGAUUCGGGGCUUUGCCGAGUCUUUACUAUGCGUAUUUUGAUAGUUGUACAGUCAUGGAUUCUAGUAGAGGCUUUGUAGACAUUUUAAAACUAUUAUAUGUAUUCAUAGUUUUACCUGUCACAUGUAUUGGUUCAGCUAGUCGACAUGUGUUGUAUAUGUAGCUUCUCAGUAGCAAAUCUAUAUGCAUAGUAGUUCACUUUCUCGUCAUAGGUCACUUGUAAAGCAUGGGUUCAUAUGGUACUUGUCCGCCCAACCUAGGGUGGGGUGUGACAGAAACAUAAUUCAAGAAUAUUGUUAUGACAUAAGUAGAAUUAGCUGUUUGUGAGAAAAUUGAACCACACAUGAGCACAUGGGACAAAAUUCAUAACUUGCAUGAAAAUAUUCCAAUAAAAGUUAUCCAAGAGGAGGACAAAGCUAACACAUACCCGUUAAAGUCCUAUAAGAAACAAUGGAAUGUCUUACCCUUAAGAAUAGAAGAAUAAUCACAAGAGUGGAAAAAUACAGUACAACCAAGGAUAUAUAACUUGAAAAUUAAAUAGGAAAAAUCAAAGAAAGAAAAGAAGAUUUUAGCUUUGGAGAAUAAUCACUAAAUUAUUAUCUGGAGAUACAGUCUAGCAGAAUCAAGGGUGCACAUUAAAUACAAUAUAAGCACAAAACUGUACUUAUGAAAAGAAAUAGAAGAACAUAAGAUUUGAAAAAAUUACCCAAAUAAAUUGAAGAACUGUACCACUGAAGGAAGGAAAAUUGGACACAGGGAUACAUAAUAUAAUAUUGUGGGUAUUUGGAAAAACAGAACUGGUUUGCUAAAUUAAAAGAGCGCAGUACACGUGUCUUCGUUUAUCAAUAAGAUAAGUCUAGUUUGUAGUGUAAUUCACGUAACAUCUUUUACAAUUAAAUAUUACAUUGUUUGUCCUAUGCUGUUGACUUUAAUAUAAAAAUAUUUUAAGAAGUUAUCAUAAAUGAUGUUCUACAACACAAUAAAAGUAAUGCAUUAGGAGAGAGGUGGGUAUAAGAAGAAUGUUUUCAGUUUUGUUGCAUCAUGUCCUAGCAUUAUCUUUUGGAAGUCAAUCUUAUGUCUACUGCUCUGUGUCUACCAGUAGAAUCAACACAUAAUCUAACAGUACUAUAAAUUAUAUCACCAGAACCAUAACCUUCCUUAGAUAUAAAAAUCCUUCUAUUAGGAGACCAACAAUAUUGAGUGUUCAAGUAAUAGAGGGUUUUAUCGUUGUUACAUGAAGUUUCACAUUUUCUAUUUCAUAUUGAGUUGAUUAGUACCUCUAGUAGAAUUAUUCCUAAUUGAUAUCGUAUACUUUCUCUAAUUCUUUCGUACUUAAUCUGUAGUAUACGACUGAUGGAGCAAGCGAAAUUAAGAAGUCGAAAAUUAAGAAAAUUGUUCAAUUUAUAUUACUAUAGAUAAAUGGUUCUUUAAUUCUUUCACCACUUAUGUAGGAAGUUUCUUUUAUUUGAAAACCAUAAAUCCAAUGAAAAAUAAAUCAAUGAAGUAUAUCGCAAUCCCAAAUUAGUUGGUUUCACUAUCAAAAUCAUCUUUAUCCAUUCCACUAUUCGAGCCAAUUUGAAAUGAAAAUUUCUUUUUUCUUGUCCGCUUCAUAUAAAUCAAAAUUAUUAAUAAGCACGGUAAUGACAUACUCAAAAUUGAAAUCUAUAUCUCAUUUCUCUUAACAAUUGUUCCUAUUAAUUAAAUUUAGAGAGACCUAACAAUAAUAAUUAGAUAAAAGUUAUCAAACCUGUCAAGCAUCAAUAGUGUGUUGAAAAUCCUGUAGCCAUUGAUCGGCUUGUAUGUGAACGUUGUUAAGGUACAGUGGAUUUAGGGCCUCUUUGAUUAUGUUAUGUAGCUUCAUGGUUCUUUCCUUGAGCUCCAAGAAAAUUUCCCCAAAAUCCUGAGUUAGAAUCAACAGACAGAAAAAUAAAUAUUCAAGUACCCAUAAAUCGUAAUUUGAAUUAGAAUUUGUUAAGUGUUGUAAGGUAAAAGUUCAGUGUUUAUUUCUAAAGAGAGAAGGAGAGAGAAAAAGAGAUGGAGAUGGAGAGGAAGGGCCGGGAAGACAUAUAGUAAGAUACCAAUGUAGUAGUUAAAAUAUAGGUCAAAUGACAUUCUUACCCUUGGUCGUCCUUUUCAUGCUUUUCUAAGUAUAUUUUUCUAGCCAUUCUCCAAUAUUUUCACAUCACCAUACUCUUAUCUCUUUCAUCUCGAUUACCUCCAUUCCCUGCAUGAGCAAAGGACGAUCAGUUAGAGCAGCUAACUUCCAAUCUUUUAAAUUACUUUUCAUCUUUAGUUGACAUCCAUCUUCAGGGGAGUAACUACACAAUUUAACAUCACAAUCAAGAGUAAAAUUCAUAUGCCUUAAGAUAUAAAGAAAGUCUUAAUGACCUCUAAAGAUGUCAAACAUAUACUCACAUUUUUUUUGAACAUCAAGGAGUAAUUGGUGACAAUGAACAUAAAUCCCUGCAGUUAUGCUCUUGUAUAAUUUAACUAUAGUAGACAUAGUUCAGUAUCGUCUGUUAUAAUAUACUAAUAAGCUACAUGCAUAAUAAAACUUUAAUCUUGAUAGAACAUUCUCUCUAUCCAUUUACAAGAAGAAAAUGAUGUUGAUUAGCCACAGGCUUAUCUCUCGUCCUCAUACUCAACAAACAGACAAAGAUUCUCAAAUAUUUACUGUUUACAUGAUAACACUCAUCAUCUUAAGUUAACUUGGUAUGUGUUUUGUCUUCUUAACCAAUAUGAAUCAACUACUUUCCGGUGUUAGGUUUUAAGAAGUUCACUUCAAAUAUAAUUAUAGACAACAUCUAAUCACAUGUCUUCUUGAUAGAAACAGAAAUGCAUUAACAAAUAGACACAUUAUCUAUCUAAGUGGGUUCGUAUUUGAUCAUCAUAUGGGUAAUACACAUACAUUGCUUCAGGUUUUCUUUAUAGCAAUUGAGUCAGCCCUCAUGAUAGGAAAAAAUUAGACAUCUCUAGGCAUUACAAUCUCAACUUAUCCAUCCUAUAAUCAAAUUAAAAUCUUAAUCUAAUAUAAUGAGAACAGAAAUAAUAAUCUGAUUUAAAAGCUAAAAGUCUUGCACAAUUAAAGAAAACUUUUUCAUAAACUGCAUUCACAACGUCUAGCUAAACCCGCAUUAGAUAAAUCCAAAAUCUUUCUAAAAAAAGUAUAUAAACUCAAAAUCAAAGAAAAUCGAAAUAGGUUACUGAAUUUUAGACAAACAUUUUGUCAAUUGAUACAAGAAAUAGGUAUAGAAAAUUUCGAGGAGUGUUGCUUUUUUAUUGGUUAAAUGGUUUUCGAAUAAGACUAAUAAUUAUUUGUUAUGUAGCAACAAUGCAGAUAAAUAGAUUAUUGAAACUUACUGUUGAAAAAAUAGAACACAGAACUUAGUUUAUGCUUACUUUCACAUUACACUUCGAAUCAAGAAUGGUGCACCUAGUAUUUCAGACCAAACAUAAAUUAGUCUUUAUCGUACCAAAACAAUCUGAAUUAGUAAAGUUUGCAUCUGAAAUAGGAACUCUGCCAGUUACUUCUCAAAACACACAAAAGUAUUAAUAUUGAUUUACCCUGCACUAAUAAAAGAGGAGCACCAGAUGCUAUAUUAAUAACAGACGUCGCAUAGUUCUAAUGAUUUUGUUAUCAGUUCUUUCAGCAAUAAUAAUAUGGUAAGUUCUUUCCAUAGACCAUGAAAUAUUUUUAUGAAAAUAUUAAUGUAUACCUUUAAUAGUAAUGUAUCGUUAAACAAAUUUCAAUGAUUUUGGUAUUGCAUAUAAAUGGUCUAAAUUGGAUCAUCAAAUUAGCAAUACAGACUAAGUGCAAACGAAAUAAAACACACAGGCACACAUGAAUGGUAUUCAAAAUGUAAACAAUAUUCUAUAACACAUCAUUGUCACAUUGUAAGAGCUGUCUAUAAUAGAUGAAGCAACAUAGCACAUGAAGUUGUGCAAAAAAAAUAAAAAUAAAAUUGAAGUACCAUUAAUAUAUCGUGAAAAGUUUGAGAAGUCCACGAUAUUAGAUUAAACACCCAAAAAGAAAAACCAUAACAAUCUAUAGGGAAGCAUGACAAGUCCUUUAAAUUUUGAAAGCGUCAAAAAGGAACAGCAAUAACAUAUCUAGUGAAAUCCCACAAGUGAUGUCUGAAGGUUAGAGUGUAUACAAAUCUUACCAUAGUCUCAUGGGGUAGAGAGAUUAUUUCCGAAAAAUCCUCGGCCUAAAUGUAGUAAAUGUAAGUAAAAAGAAGAAGAAAACAAUAUAAAAAAAAGGCAAGGUAUUACCAUCUUAAUAUUUAUAUCUAUUUUUAUUUGCUUAUAAUAUUUAAAACUAGAAUUCGAAAAAUGUUCUAUCAAAUCCUAGCAAAAGACCACAAUUUUUCCCUUUUAAGGGCUUCAAGUGUUGCCGAAAGAAUCCAUCGCAAGAAAAAUAGGGCUAAGCCAAAUGAAAUUAGUAGCAUUCCAAGUUUUAUCCCAUUUGGAGGGAACAUGAAAAAUAAAUAUUACUUUAAAUGCUUCUUCAUUAUUCACAAAUAAUUUACAAUUUGAAAAGCUAAUUAUAUUGUAACUAAAAAUUUGACCAACUUCUUGAACCGACAACUUAAGUUUAUUUUGGUCUUUCCUUCGAUGAAGAGAAGUGAGAAUACUGAUGAAUCUUUUUGUAUUUAGAAUAUAGAUGAAAUAUAUAUUUUUGAAGAAAAAUAAAAGCAUGUAAAUGAAAAUAAAAUAAAAAAUAAGCAGGAUAAAAAGGAUAACAACCAUGAAAUUUGGGAAUUCAAAGAGAAGUGAAACUUAAUUAGGGGAAAAUUGAAAGAAACACUGACCUGGAAUUGCAACAAAAUGGCGAGAAACUUGAAAGAAUGAAGAACGGUGAAGGAAUCCAUAUUUUUUGAAUUCUUGUGGAUCCCUUUGGAAAUAACAAGAUGUUUCCAGAACAAUCUUGAGGGUUUAGAUAGGGACA
rnacentral:lncRNA from 1 species